UGGGUGGGAUCUGCGGUGCCCUGCGAUGAGACGGAUAUGGCGCUCUUCAGGGCUUCUACCAUCAUCUCCUUGGGCAAUGGGAGAAAAUCCUUAUUCUGGCUCGAUGACUGGACAGGACGGGGCCCUCUGUCCCGGGCCUUCCCGGAGCUGUACAAAAUUGCCACCAGGAAGCGAAGAUCUGUGAUGAAGGAGCUACAAGAGGAGAACUGGAUCAGAUCGGUUGCCCGUCUUUCAUCGCCUACCCACCUGCAGGAGUUCAUUGCCCUCGCUUCAGUUAUCACUCAGGUGGCGUUGAACCCGGACCAGGAGGACUCCAUCACUUGGCGGUGGACCCCCAAUGGCAUAUACUCUGCUGCUUCGGCCUACGCGGCCCAGUUCUCUGGAUCCUAUCCCAGGUUCUCCCCGACCAAGAUUUGGGAGGCACAUGCUGAGCCAAAAUGUAAGUUCUUCGCCUGGCUUGUGCUCCACGGGAAGAUCCUCACGGCCGACAUGCUAGCCGUUCGUGGCUGGCCGCACGACCCUUGUUGUUCCCUUUGCCUUCGAGCUCCGGAGACGGCCACUCAUCUCUGCAAGGACUGCCCAUUUGCCGCCGCAGUUUGGUCUCACGUCCAGGUCUGGACGGGAGAGGACUCUGGGGCCACGCCCACGUUGCCCCCUUCGAUGGGGAUUUCGGAGUGGUGGGAUUCGCUCACCACCAAUCUGCCCAAGAACGUCAAAAGAAGGCGGAGCGGCCGCUUCCUUUACACCAUCUGGAACAUUUGGAAGGAGCGAAACCGACGCAUCUUCAAUGGAACUCGCCUCACGCACCUCGAGGUUGCAGCUAUUGCCUUCGAAGACAUCAAGCAAAGGUCCCGGGCCUUUGGCCGGGCACAUGUGGCAACCGGUAUUGGCUGACUAGUGCCAUCGUGGGUUUCUUUCUAGGGGUUUUUGUCUAGUUUCUCUUCCAAAAACCGGAACACUCUUGUACAUAAACCUUCUUCUUCUUCUUAUAUGAAAAGGCAGUGCUCCUGCCGGUUCCUCAAAAAAAAAUUAGAAACCUCGAAUCCAUACUAAUACAGGCACUAAUCUUGAGCUCGUCCGGCUCGUGCGCAUGUCCGGCAGCCGGUUGCACCCCUUUAGAGUGUUGGUCCGGUCGCCAGUGAGGUUGAGUAGGACAUGGGACACGAGCCGGCACACGAGACUCAAGGUGGCGUCUCCCAUGCCUUACUCUUCCUCGUGGGAGCCCAAAACCUUGAUGGUGCCGGUGGACGUCAGAUCGAUGAUGGAUCUGUCUUGGGACGAACCGGCAACAUCCAUCAAACAUGGUUGCGGCACCCGGACUGGUGCACCAUACGGGGCACUGGAGAAUGCGACUCCGCCUCGCCAACGUCCACCGCCACGAGGACCACUGCCGCCUCCCGCCCCCAAUGCCUUGCACGGCAGGCACGCUACGCCAUGUUUGUAUCGGACGACGCCCAUGGUGCGUUCACCUCCGCAUCGGCACGCCACCGGAGGAGUUGCGUGUCGGCCACCGUGUUCGAACGCCAGAAGGGUUGCGCCGCCUCCGGUGAGACAACGAUACCACACAUUGAGGCGGAUCCAUGCGUCAUUUGGGCAGACGCAAUGGAUUUAUGACGGAAGGAGUCCGAGCGCUGCCGUCGGGCGGCCUACUCCCGGGAGCGGCGGAGCAUGGACGUGCAUCUCCUCCUCGGAGCCGUGUGGGAUGAGCUCGGGGGUCGAUGGAUCUGGAGGUGUAGGAUGCGUAUCCAUUGCCUGCCAUGCCGGAGAAGGUCGGAGAUCGCUGGACGGGAGGUUGGCCGAGUAGGGUGGAGGAGAGUGGAGUGGAGUGGCAAGGGUUUGGUCCAGGGAGCGGAUGAGGACGUUUAUAUGCGGGGUCGGGGGCAGCGUGAGUCGGGUCCGACGUGGCGGACGCGGCCGGUCAUGCCCGGGCCUCCCUGUGUCGGUCGGCCUGGGCGUUUGAGGCGGUUGAGACGCUCGUUUCGGUCAUUUUUUGACUGAUCACUGACCGGGUCGUCCGCCGACUGAUACCUACUACACAACCUUCUUCUUGUAGACGUUGUUGGGCCUCCAAGUACAGAGGUUUGUAGGACAGUAGCAAAUUUCCCUCAAGUGGAUGACCUAAGGUUUAUCAAUCGUAGGAGGCAUAGGAUGAAGAUGGUCUCUCUCAAGCAACCCUGCAACCAAAUAACAAAAAGUCUCUUGUGUCCCCAACACACCCAAUACAAUGGUAAAUUGUAUAGGUGCACUAGUUCGGCGAAGAGAUGGUGAUACAAGUGCAAUAUGGAUAGUAGAUAAUAGUUUUUGUAAUCUGAAAUAAUAAAAACAGCAAGGUAGCAAGUGAUAAAAGUGAGCGUAAACGGUAUUGCAAUGCGUUGAAACAAGGCCUAGGGUUCAUACUUUCACUAGUGCAAGUCCUCUCAGCAAUACUAACAUAAUUGGAUCAUAAAACUAUCCCUCAACAUGCAACAAAGAGUCACUCCAAAGUCACUAAUAGCAGAGAACGAACGAAGAGAUUAUGGUAGGGUACGAAACCACCUCAAAGUUAUUCUUUCCAAUCAAUCCGUUGGGCUAUUCCUAUAAGUGUCACAAACAGCCCUAGAGUUUGUACUACAAUAACACCUUAAGACACAAAAUCAACCAAAACCCUAAUGUCACCUAGAUACUGUUGGGGAACGUAGUAAUUUCAAAAAAAUUCCUACGCACACGCAAGAUCAUGGUGAUGCAUAGCAAUGAGAGGGGAGAGCGUUGUCUACGUACCCUCGUAGACCGACAGCGGAAGCAUUAUGACAACGCGGUUGAUGUAGUCGUACGUCUUCACGGCCCAACCGAUCAAGCACCGAAACUACGACACCUCCGAGUUUUAGCACAGGUUCAGCUCGAUGACGAUCCCCGGACUCCGAUCCAGCAAAGUGUCGGGGAAGAGUUCCGUCAGCACGACGGCAUGGUGACGAUCUUGAUAUUCUAUCGUCGCAGGGCUUCGCCUAAGCACCGCUACAAUAUUAUCGAGGAGUAUGGUGGAAGGGGGCACCACACACGGCUAAGAAAACGAUCACGAGGAUCAACUUGUGCGUCUAGAGGUGCCCCCCCCUGCCCCCGUAUAUAAAGGAGCAAAGGGGGAGGCCGGCCGGCCCUUGGGCGCGCCAAGGAGGAGGAGUCCUCCUCCUAGUAGGAGUAGGACUCCCCUCUUUCCUACUCCUACUAGGAGGGGGAAAGGAAGGGGGAGAGGGAGAAGGAAAGGGGGGCGCCGCCCCCCCCCCCCCUCCUAGUCCAAUUCGGACCAGAGGGGGAGGGGGCGCUCGGCCCACCCUGGCCGCCCCUCUCUCUCUCCACUAGGGCCCAUAAGGCCCAUUACUUCUCCCGGGGGGGGGUUCCGGUAACCUUCCGGCACUCUGAUUUUCUCCAAAAUCACCCGGAACACUUCCGGUGUCCGAAUAUAGCCGUCCAUAUAUCAAUCUUUAUGUAUCGACUAUUUCAAGACUCCUCGUCAUGUCCGUGAUCACAUCCGGGACUCCGAACAAACUUCAGUACAUCAAAAUAUAUAAACUCAUAAUGAAACUGUCAUCGUAACGUUAAGCGUGCGGACCCUACGAGUUCGAGAACAAUGUAGACAUGACCAAGACAUGUCUCCGUUCAAUAACCAAUAGCGAAACCUGGAUGCUCAUAUUGGCUCCCACAUAUUCUUCGAAGAUCUUUAUCGGUCAAACCGCAUAACAACAUACUUUGUUCCCUUUAUCAUCGGUAUGUUACUUGCCCGAGAUUCAAUCGUCGGUAUCUCAAUACCUAGUUCAAUCUCGUUACCAGCAAGUCUCUUUACUCGUUUCGUAAUACAUCAUCUCGCAACUAACUCAUUAGUUGCAAUGCUUGCAAGGCUUAUGUGAUGUGCAUUACCGAGAGGGCCCAGAGAUACCUCUCCGACAAUCGGAGUGACAAAUCCUAAUCUUGAAAUACGCCAACCCAACAUGUACCUUUGGAGACACCUGUAGAGCUCCUUUAUAAUCACCCAGUUACGUUGUGACGUUUGGUAGCACACAAAGUGUUCCUCUGGCAAACGGGAGUUGCAUAAUCUCAUAGUCAUAGGAACAUGUAUAAGUCAUGAAGAAAGCAAUAGCAACAUACUAAAUGAUCGGGUGCUAAGCUAAUGGAAUGGGUCAUGUCAAUCACAUCAUUCUCCUAAUGAUGUGAUCCCGUUAAUCAAAUGAAAACUCAUGUCUAUGGUUAGGAAACAUAACCAUCUUUGAUCAACGAGCUAGUCAAGUAGAGGCAUACUAGUGACACUCUGUUUGUCUAUGUAUUCACACAUGUAUUAUGUUUUCGGUUAAUACAAUUCUAGCAUGAAUAAUAAACAUUUAUCAUGAUAUAAGGAAAUAAAUAAUAACUUUAUUAUUGCCUCUAGGGCAUAUUUCCUUCUGAUACUCCAAUGUCACCUCAAGUAUCCGUGGGUAUGAUUAUACGAUAUGCAUCACACAAUCUCAGAUUCAUCUAUUCAACCAACACAAAGGACCUCAAAGAGUGCCCCAAAGUUCUACCGGAGAAUCACAACGAAAACGUGUGCCAACCCCUAUGCAUCCCCAAUCACGACGAAAACGUGUGCCAACCCCUAUGCAACCCCAAAAAUUAUAGAUACGUUGGAGACAUAUCAAGCAUCCCGAAGCUUAAUUCCUUCUCGUCCUCGAGUAGGUAAAUGAUAAAAAGAUAAUUUUUGAUGUGGAAUGCUAGUUGGCAUAAUCUCAAUGUAAUUCUUCCUACUUGUGAUAUGAAUAUUCAGAUCCGAAAGAUUCAAGACAAAAGUUCAUUUUGACAUAAAAAUAAUAAUAGUUCAAGCAUACUAACUAAGCAAUCAUGUAUUCUCAAAAUAACAUUGCUAAAGAAAGCUAUCCCUACAAAAUCAUAUAGUCUGGCUAUGCUCCAUCUUCACCACACAAAAUAUUUAAAUCGUGCACAACCCCGAUGACAAGCCAAGCAAUUGUUUCAUACUUUUGAUGUUCUCAAACUUUUUCACUCUUCACGCAAUAGAUGAGCGUGAGCCAUGGACAUAGCACCAUAGGUGGAAUAGAAUGGUGGUUGUGGAGAAGACAAAAAUGGAGAAGAUAGUCUCACAUCGACUAGGCGUAUCAACGGGCUAUGGAGAUGCCCAUCAAUAGAUAUCAAUGUGAGUGAGUAGGGAUUGCCAUGCAACGGAUGCACUAGAGCUAUAAGUAUAUGAAAGCUCAACAAAAGAAACUAGUGGGUGUGCAUCCAACUCGCUUGCUCACGAAGACCUAGGGCACUUGAGGAGGCCCAUUGUUGGAAUAUACAAGCCAAGUUCCAUAAUGAAAAAUUCCCACUAGUAUAUGAAAGUGACAACAUAUGAGACUCUCUAUCAUGAAGAUCAUGGUGCUACUUUGAAGCACAAGUGUGGUAAAAGGAUAGUAGCAUUGCCCCUUCUCUCUUUUUCUCUCAUUUUUUUAUUUUUUAUUUUUUAUUUGGGCCUUCUCUUUUUUUAUGGCCCCUUUUUUGGGCUUCUUUGGCCUCUCUUUUUUAUUUUUCGUCUGGAGUCUCAUCCCGACUUGUGGGGGAAUCAUAGUCUCCAUCAUCCUUUCCUCACUGGGACAAUGCUCUAAUAAUGAUGAUCAUCACACUUUUAUUUUUCUUACAACUCAAGAAUUACAACUCGAUACUUAGAACAAGAUAUGACUCUAUAUGAAUGCCUCCGGCGGUGUACCAGGAUGUGCGAUGAUGCAUGAGUGACAUGUAUGAAAGAAUUAUGAACGGUGGCCUUGCCACAAAUACGAUGUCAACUACAUGAUCAUGCAAAGCAAUAUGACAAUGAUGAAGCGUGUCAUAAUAAUGGAAUGGUGGAAAGUUGCAUGGCAAUAUAUCUCGGAAUGGCUAUGGAAAUGCCAUAAUAGGUAGGUAUGGUGCCUAUUUUGAGGAAGGUGUAUGGUGGGUUUAUGGUACCGGCAAAAGUUGCGCAGUACUAGAGAGGCUAGAAAUGGUGGAAGGGUGAGAGUGCGUAUAAUCCAUGGACUCAACAUUAGUCAUAAAGAACUCACAUACUUAUUGCAAAAAUCUAUUAGUUAUCGAAACAAAGUAUUAUGCGCAUGCUCCUAGGGGGAUAGAUUGGUAGGAAAAGACCAUCGCUCGUCCCCGACCGCCACUCAUAAGGAAGACAAUCAGUAAAUAAAUCAUGCUCCGACUUCAUCACAUAACGGUUCACCAUACGUGCAUGCUACGGGAAUCACAAACUUCAACACAAGUAUUUCUCAAAUUCACAACCACUAAACUAGCAUGACUAAUAUCACCAUCUCCAUAUCUCAAAACAAUUACCAAGUAUCAAACUUCUCAUAGUAUUCAACACACUCAAAAGAGAAUUUUAUUAUUCUUGAAUACCUAGCAUAUUAGGAUUUUAAGCAAAUUACCAUGCUAUUAAGACUCUCAAAAUAAUAUAAGUGAAGCAUGAGAGUUCAUCUAUUUCUUCAAAAUAAAACUACCACCAUGCUCUAAAAGGAUAUGAGUGAAGCACUAGAGCAACAACAAACUACUCCGAAAGAUAUAAGUGAAGAUCAAUGAGUAGUCGAAUAAUUAUGCAACUAUGUGAAGCCUCUCUAACAUUUAAUAAUUUCAGAUCUUGAUACUUUAUUAAAACAGCAAGCAAAACAAAAUAAAAUGACAUUCUAAGAAUAGCAAAGAUCAUGUGAAGAAGCAAAAACUUAGGAUCAACCGAAACUAACCGAUAGUUGUUGAAGAAGAAAGGUGGGAUGCCAACCGGGGCAUCCCCAAGCUUAGACGCUUGAGACUUCUUGAAAUAUUAUCUUGGGGUGCCUGGGGCAUCCCCAAGCUUGAGCUUUUGUGUCUCCUUAAUUCCUCUCAUAUCACGGUCUCCCUAAAUCUCAAAAGAUUCAUCCACACAAAACUCAACAAGGACUCGUGAGAUAAGUAAGUAUAAACCAUUGCCAAAACCUUAUCAUACUCUACUGUAGCAAAUCACUAAAAUUAUUAUUCAACAUUGCAUACUAAAUGUCUCUGCAUAUUUAAUAGUCCUAUCCUCAAAUAGAAUCAUUAAAGAAGCAAACAUAUGCAAACAAUGCAAACAUAACAGCAAUCUGCCUAAACAGGAUAGUCUGUAAAGAAUGCUGCAACAUCCAUAAUUCCCUAGCUCCAAAAAUUAUUAAAUAAAAUUACCACUGUAGUAAAUUUAUCAUAGCUUAAUAUGCAAAAGGUUUCAAAAUUUUAUCACAUUCUGACUUUUCUAGGGAAUUAUUGCAACAGAGGUAAACUUUCUGUUUUCAAACAGCAACAUGUAUACUUGUAACAUAGGCAUAGUAAAGGCUAUCAAUGCCACUUUUAUUGAAAUAAAAGAUGAAAAACAUUGUUCUAAAUAACAUAAAGCAAAUCCUAACAAAAUAAAUUGACUCUCCAAGCAAAACACAUAUCAUGUGGUGAAUAAAAAUAUAGCUCCAAGUAAAGUUACCGAUGAACGAAGACGAAAGAGGGGAUGCCUUCCGGGGCAUCCCCAAGCUUAGGCUCUUGGCUAUCCUUGAAUAUUAACUUGGGGUGCCUUGGGAAUCCCCAAGCUUAGGCUCUUGCCACUCCUUAUUCCAUAGUCCAUUGAAUCCUUACCCAAAACUUGAAAACUUCACAACACAAAACUUAACAGAAAACUCGUAAGCUCCGUUAGUAUAAGAAAAUAAAUCACCACUACAAGGUACUGUAAUGAACUCAUUAUUUAUUUAUAUUGGUGUUAAACCUACUUUAUUACAACUUAUCUAUGGUUUAUAAACUAUUUCACUAGCCAUAGAUUCAUCAAAAUAAGCAAACAAGACACGAAAAACAGAAUCUGUCAAAAACGGAACAGUCUGUAGUAAUCUGGAUCAAACGUAUACUUCUGGAACUCAUAAAAUUCUCAAAUAAAUUUCUGGACCUGAGGAAUUUAUCUAUUAAUCAUCUACAAAAAUAAUUAACUAAAUAUCACUCUCCAAAUAAAAAUGGAAGCAAUUAUCGUGAGCGCUAAAGUUUCUGUUUUUACAGCAUGAUCGACAAGACUUUCCCCAAGUCUUCCCAACGGUUCUACUUGGCACAAGCACUAAUUAAAAGCAUAAAACCACAUAUAAACAGAGGCUAGAUGAAUUAUUUAUUACUAAACAGUAACAUAAAGUAAGGAACUAAAAUAAAAUUGUGUUGCCUCCCAACAAGCGCUAUCGUUCAACGCCCCUAGCUAGGCAUGAUGAUUUCAAUGAUGCUCACAUAAAAGAUAAGAAUUGUAACAUAAAGAGAGCAUCUUGAAGAAUAUGACUAGCACAUUUAAGUCUAACCCACUUCCUAUGCAUGGGGAUUUUGUGAGCAAACAACUUGUGGGAACAAUAAUCAACUAGCAUAGGAAGGUAAAACAAGCAUAACUUCAAAACUUUCAGCACAUAGAGAGGAAACUUGAUAUUAUUGCAAUUCCUACAAGCAUAUAUUCCUCCCUCAUAAUAAUUUUCAGUAGCAUCAUGAAUGAAUUUAACAAUAUAACCAGUACCUAAAGCAUUCUUUUCAUGAUCUACAAGCAUAGAAAAUUUAUUACUCUCCACAUAAGCAAAAUUCUUCUUAUUCGGAAUAGUGGGAGUAUCAUAGGAAACUUGAAUACUAUAAAUUGUUUCCACAUUAAAAGAGUAAUGUUCAGAGAAGUGGUAAUCAUAAUCAUGACAAGUUUUAUAAAUAUAAUCACUAUUUUUUAUAGCAUAAGUAUCAUCACAAUAAUCAUCAUAAGUAGGAGGCAUGCUAUCAUCAUUAUAAACUUGCAUAUCAAAACUUGAGAGACUAAAAGUAUCAUCUUCGUUAAUCAUAGCUUCCCCAAGCUUGGGACAAACAUUAAUUGCAGCAAAUAUAUUCUCAAAUAUGUCAUCCUCAUCAAACAUAGCUUCCCCAAGCUUGGGCCUUUUCAUAUCAUAAGCAUAAUCACUCUCAUCAUUAAUAGUAUAGAUAGCACCGAUAGUAUAGCAAAUAUUAUAUUCUUCCAAGCAAGUACCAAAAAGAUUUUCAAGAUCAUAAUAAGUAUCAUUAUCUUCCCAAUCAUAAUCAUCACAACAAGCAAUAGGCAUAACGAGAUCAUCAUCAAGUGUAUCAUCUUCAUUUUCAUGAUGCACAGCAAUAAUAGGAGCUACUUUAUUUGGGAGAGAUACCUUUUUACCUCUCUUCAUUUUUCUUUUCUUCUUCUUCACCACAUCAUGUGUGGGUUCAAUCCUCUUUUUCGAGCUCCUUAUUAAUGAGAUUGGUUGAAUAGGAGGCUCCUCCUCGUUACCUGAUUCAUCAUAAGAAAUAAUAGGAGGAUAUUGGGAAGUCUCUUCCCUUUCAUUAGUAUUCUCUUCACCCUCUAUUUGUUUUGUUUUCUUUAUGUAAGUGGCAAUAUAAGGAUUUUCAAUGCAAUUCACCGCACAAUACAUAUAAAUAUUCUCUUGAUCAAAAUCAAGAACUCUAUCAAGAUUAAACUUUGGAAUACCCUCAGAUAUACGUUUCAUUUCUUCAUGACCCAAAAGAAGGCUAAGCUCUUUAUGAUGCUCAAGGGUAAUCAAAUUAUCACAAUGUUUGGACAUGACUUGAUCAUGAAACAAAUAGCAUUGGAGCUUUAAAUGACCAUGUUCAUUGCAAAGUUCACAAGCGGCACGAAAAAUAUUGAAUCUAUCAGCACAUUCAUCUAGCUCUUCUUGCAACAAUUUAGUUUCUAAGUACUUAUGCCUCUUGCAAUAUCUAUCUUCCCUAUUUGGUGUGUACUUGCAAACCCAGUCUACUCCACAAAAUUGACAUGUUUAUAGGAGGCAUUUUCAUCAUAACUAGUGCAAUCAUCAUUAGCAUCAUGGAUAUUCAAAGAAUUCAUACUAACAGCAUUGCAAUCAUGCUCAUCAUUCAAAUAUUUAGUGCCAAACUUUCUAAUGCAUUCUUCUUCUAGCACUUGAGCACAAUUAUCCUUUCCAUCAUACUCACGAAAGAUAUUAAAAAGGUGAAGCGUAUGAGACAAACUCAAUUUCAUUUUUUUAUAGUUUUCUUUUAUAAACUAAACUAGUGAUAAAACAAGAAACUAAAAGACUCGAUUGCAAGAUCUAAAGAUAUACCUUCAAGCGCUAACCUCCCCGGCAACGGCGCCAGAAAAGAGCUUCAUGUCUACUACACAACCUUCUUCUUGUAGACGUUGUUAGGCCUCCAAGUGCAGAGGUUUGUAGGACAGUAGCAAAUUUCCCUCAAGUGGAUGACCUAAGGUUUAUCAAUCGUAGGAGGCGUAGGAUGAAGAUGGUCUCUCUCAAGCAACCCUGCAACCAAAUAACAAAGAGUCUCUUGUGUCCCCAACACACCCAAUACAAUGGUAAAUUGUAUAGGUGCACUAGUUCGGCGAAGAGAUGGUGAUACAAGUGCAAUAUGGAUAGUAGAUAAUAGUUUUUUGUAAUCUGAAAUAAUAAAAACAACAAGGUAGCAAGUGAUAAAAGUGAGCGUAAACGGUAUUGCAAUGCGUUGAAACAAGGCCUAGGGUUCAUACUUCACUAGUGCAAGUCCUCUCAACAAUACUAACAUAAUUGGAUCAUAAAACUAUCCCUCAACAUGCAACAAAGAGUCACUCCAAAGUCACUAAUAGUGGAGAACGAAUGAAGAGAUUAUGGUAGGGUACGAAACCACCUCAAAGUUAUUCGUUCCAAUCAAUCUGUUGGGCUAUUCCUAUAAGUGUCACAAACAGCCCUAGAGUUCGUACUAGAAUAACACCUUAAGACACAAAUCAACCAAAACCCUAAUGUCACCUAGAUACUCCAAUGUCACCUCAAGUAUCUGUGGGUAUGAUUAUACGAUAUGCAUCACACAAUCUCAGAUUCAUCUAUUCAACCAACACAAAGGACCUCAAAGAGUGCCCCAAAGUUCUACCGGAGAACCACGACGAAAACGUGUGCCAACCCCUAUGCGUAGGUUCAUGGGCGGAACCCGCAAGUUGAUCACCAAAACAUACAUCAAGUGAAUCACGUGAUAUCCCAUUGUCACCACAGAUAUCCACGGCAAGACAUACAUCAAGUGUUCUCAAAUCUUUAAAGACUCAAUCCGAUAAGAUUACUUCAAAGGGGAAACUCAAUUCAUUACAAGAGAGAAGAGGGGGAGGAGAAACAUAGGAUCCAACUAUAAUAGCAAAGCUCGCCAUACAUCAAGAUCAUGCCAAAUCAAGAACACGAGAGAGAGAGAGAGAGAGAGAGAGAGAUCAAACACAUAGCUACUGGUACAUACCCUCAGCCCCGAGGGAGAACUACUCCCUCCUCACCGGGAUGAUGAAGAUGGCCACCGGAGAAGGAUUCCCCCUCCGGCAGGGUGCCGGAACGGGUCUAGAUUGGUUUUCGGUGGCUACAGAGGCUUCUGGCGGUGGAGCUCCUGUUCUAUUCUCCGUUCUGGAAGUUUUAGGGUACGGCGAUAUAUAUGGGUGCAGGAAGUACGUCGGAGGAGCUACGGGGGCCCCACGAGGCAGGGGGCGCGCCCUAGGGGGGCGCCCCCUGAUACGUCUCCAACGUAUCUAUAAUUUUUGAUUGCUCCAUGCUAUAUUAUCUACUGUUUUGGACUAUAUUGGGCUUUAUUUUCCACUUUUAUAUUAUUUUUGGGACUAACCUAUUGACCGGAGGCCCAGCCCAGAAUUGUUGUUUUUUCCCUAUUUCAGUGUUUCGGAUAAACAGAAUAUCAAACGGAGUCCAAACGGAAUAAAAUCUUCGGAAACGUGAUUUUCUCACCGAACGUGAUGCAGGAGACUUGGACCCUACUGCAAGGGAUCAAAGAGGUGGUCACGAGGGGGGGGCGCCCCCUGCCUCGUGGGCCCCUCGGUGCUCCACCGACGUACUCUUUCCUCCUAUAUAUACACACGUACCCCCAAACAAUCAAAACAGGAGCCAAAACCCUAAUUCCACCGCCGCAACUUUCUGUAUCCACGAGAUCCCAUCUUGGGGCCUGUUCCGGAGCUCCGCCGGAAGAGGGUCGUCAUCACGGAGGGCUUCUACAUCAUCCUAGCCCCUCCGAUGAAGUGUGAGUAGUUUACCUCAGACCUUCGGGUCCAUAGUUAGUAACUAGAUGGCUUCUUCUCUCUCUUUGAAUCUCAAUACAAAGUUCUCCCCCUCUCUUGUGGAGAUCUAUUCGAUGUAAUCUUCUUUUUGUGGUGUGUUUGUUGAGACCGAUGAAUUGUGGGUUUAUAAUCAAGUCUAUCUAUGAAUAAUAUUUGAAUCUUCUCUGAAUUCUUUUAUGCAUGAUUGGUUAUCUUUGCAAGUCUCUUCGAAUUGUCCGUUUGGUUUGGCCAACUAGAUUGGUAGUUCUUGCCAUGGGAGAAGUGCUUAGCUUUGGGUUCGAUCUUGCGGUGUCCUUACGCAGUGACAGAAGGGGCAGCAAGGCACGUAUUGUAUCAUUGCCAUCGAGGAUAACAAGAUGGGGUUUAUUUCAUAUUCCAUGAAUUUAUCUCUCUACAUCAUGUCAUCUUGCUUAAGGCGUCACUCUGUUUUUAACUUAAUACUCUAGAUGCAUGCUGGAUAGCGGUCGAUGAGUGGAGUAAUAGUAGUAGAUGCAGAAUCGUUUCGAUCUACUUGUCACGGACGUGAUGCCUAUAUACAUGAUCAUGCCUAGAUAUUCUCAUAAUUAUGCACAAUUCUAUCAAUUGCUCAACAGUAAUUUGUUCACCCACCGUAGAAUACUUAUGCUCUUGAGAGAAGCCACUAGUGAAACCUAUGGCCCCCGGGUCUAUUCUCAUCAUAUCAAUCUCCAUCACUUUUAUAUUUCUUUGCUAUUUACUUUGCCUUUACUUUUUUACUUUGCAUCUUUAUAUCAAAAAUACCAAAAAUAUUCUAUCUAUCAGAUCUCACUCUCGUAAGUGACCAUGAAGGGCUUGACAAUCCCUAAUCGCGUUGGUUGCGAGUAGCUAUCUCUUUGUGCAGGUACGAGGGACUUGAGCGUGGGCCUACUGGAUUGAUACCUUGGUUCUCAAAAACUGAGGGAAAUACUUACGCUACUCUGCUGCAUCAUCCCUUCCUCUUCGGGGAAAACCAACGCAAGCUCAAGACAUAGCAAGAAGGAUUUCUGGCGCCGUUGCCGCGGAGUCUACGCAAAAAGUCAACAUACCAAGUACCCAUCACAUUCCCUAUCUCUCGCAUUACAUUAUUUGCCAUUUGCCUCUCAUUUUCCUCUCCCCCCAAUUCACCCUUGCCGUUUUAUUAGCCCUCUCUAUCUCUCCAUCCUCCCUCUCUAUUUGCCUCUUUUUGUCCGCUUGCUUUUUGUUUGCCCGUGUGUUAGAUUGCUUGUUUGUCGCGAUGGCUCAAGAUGCUACCAAAUUGUGUGACUUCACCAAUACCAAUAAUAAUGAUUUCCUUAGCACUCCGAUUGCUCCUCUUACCGAUGAUGAAUCUUGUGAAAUUAAUACUGCUUUGUUGAAUCUUGUUAUGAAAGAUCAAUUCGCCGGCCUUCCUAGUGAAGAUGCCGCUACUCAUCUGAAUAGCUUCGUUGAUUUAUGUGAUAUGCAGAAGAAAAAAGAUGUCAAUAAUGAUGUCAUUAAAUUGAAGCUAUUUCCUUUUUCGCUUAGAGAUCGUGCUAAAGCUUGGUUUUCGUCUUUGCCUAAGAAUAGUAUUGAUUCAUGGAACAAAUGCAAAGAUGCUUUUAUCUCUAAGUAUUUUCCUCCCGCUAAGAUCAUCUCUCUUAGAAACGAUAUAAUGAACUUUAAACAACUUGAUCAUGAACAUGUUGCACAAGCUUGGGAGAGAAUGAAAUUAAUGAUACGUAAUUGUCGUACUCAUGGUUUGAAUUUGUGGAUGAUUAUACAAAAAUUUUAUGCCGGAUUGAAUUUUGCUUCUAGAAAUCUUUUAGAUUCGGCCGCGGGAGGCACUUUUAUGGAAAUCACUUUAGGAUAUGCUACUAAACUCCUAGACAAUAUUAUGGUUAAUUAUUCUCAAUGGCAUACUGAAAGAACUUCUAAUAAAAAAGUGCAUGCGAUAGAAGAAAUUAAUGUGUUGAGUGGAAAGAUGGAUGAACUUAUGAAAUUAUUUGCUACUAAGAGUGUUUCUUCUGAUCCUAAUGAUAUGCCUUUGUCUACUUUGAUUGAGAAUAACAAUGAAUUUAUGGAUGUGAAUUUUGUUGGUAGGAAUAAUUUUGGUAACAACGCUUAUAGAGGGAAUUUUAAUCCUAGGCCAUAUCCUAGUAAUCCUUCUAAUAAUUAUGGGAAUUCCUACAACAACUCUUAUGGAAAUUAUAAUAAGAUGUCCUCUGAUUUUGAAUCUAAUAUUAAAGAAUUUAUUUCUUCACAAAAGAAUUUUAAUGCUAUGAUUGAAGAAAAAUUGCUUAAGAUUGAUGAUUUGGCUAGGAACGUUGAUAGAAUUACUCUUGAUGUUGAUGCUUUGAAACUUAGAUCUAUUCCACCUAAGCAUGAUAUUAAUGAGUCUCUAAAAGCCAUGAGAAUUUCAAUUGAUGAGUGUAAAGAAAGAACCGCUAGGAUGCGUGCUUCCAAAGAUGCCUUUAUUAAAGCAUGUUCUUCCAAUUCCUAUGAAAAUCAAGAUGAAGAUCUAAAAGUUAUUGAUGUGUCUCCAAUUAAAUCUUUAUUUUGCAAUAUGAAUCUUGAUGAAACUGAAUAUGAUCUUCCUUUACCUAGAAGGCGUUCUAAAAAUUUGGAGUGUUUAGAUAUUAAUGAUGAAAUUGAUGAAAGUGGGAUUGAAAGAAAUAAAAAUCUAGAUGUUGCUAAACCCACUAUAUUGGAUUUCAAGGAAUUUAAUUAUGAAAAUUUCUCUUUGAUUGAUUGUAUUUCCUUGUUGCAAUCUGUGCUAAAUUCUCCACAUGCUUAUAGUCAAAAUAAAGCCUUCACCGAACAUAUUGUUGAUGCCUUGAUGCAAUCUUAUGAAGAAAAACUUGAGUUGAAAGUUUCUAUCCCUAGAAAACUCUAUGAUGAGUGGGAACCAACUAUUAAAAUUAAAAUUAAAGAUCAUGAGUUUUAUGCUUUGUGUGAUUUGGGUGCUAGUGUCUUUACUAUUCCCAAGACUUUGUGUGAUUUACUAGAUUUCCGUAAUUUUGAUGAUUACUCUCUAAACUUGCAUCUUGCGGAUUCCACUAUUAAGAAACCUAUGGGAAGAAUUAAUGAUGUUCUUAUUGUUGCAAAUAGGAAUUAUGUGCCUGUAGAUUUCAUUGUUCUUGAUAUAGAUUGCAAUCCUUCUUGCCCUGUUAUUCUUGGUAGACCUUUCCUUAGAACGGUUGGUGCGAUUAUUGAUAUGAAGGAAGUGAAUAUUAGAUUUCAAUUUCCAUUAAAAAGGGCAUGGAACAGUUUCCAAGAAAGAAAAUAAAAUUACCAUAUGAAACUAUCAUGAGAGCCACUUAUGGAUUACCUACCAAAGAUGGCAAUACCUAGAUCUAUUCUUGCUCGUUAUGCCUAGCUAGGGGCGUUAAACGAUAGCGCUUGUUGGGACGCAACCCAAUUUUAUUUUUAUUCCUUGAUUUUUGCUCAUGUUUAGUACUCCUAAUAAAUAAAUUAUUUAGCCUAUGUUUUGGUUGUGUUUCUGUGUUUAAUUAGUGUUUGUGCCAAGUAGAACCGUUGGGAAGACUUGGGGAAAGUCUUGUUGAACUUGCUGUAAAAAACAGAAACUUUAACGCUCACGAGAACUGCUGUCAUUUUUAUUUGAAGAGUGAUAUUUAGUUAAUUAUUUUUGAAGAUGAUUAAUAGAUAAAUUCUUCACGUCCAGAAAUUUAUUUUAGAAUUUUUAGGGUUCCAGAUCUUGCGCUAGCUACAGAUUACUACAGACUGUUCUGUUUUUGACAGAUUCUGUUUUUCGUGUGUUGUUUGCUUAUUUUGAUGAAUCUAUGGCUAGUAAAAUAGUUUAUAAUCCAUAGAGAAGUUGGAAUACAGUAGGUUUAACACCAAUAUAAAUAAAGAAUGAUUUCAUUACAGUACCUUGAAGUGGUCUUUUGUUUUCUUUCGCUAACGUAGCUCACGAGUUUUCUAUUUUGAGUUUUGUGUUGUGAAGUUUUCAAGUUUUGGGUGAAUUCUUUUGAUGGAUCAUGGAACAAGGAGUGGCAAGAGCCUAACCUUGGGGAUGCCCAUGUCACUCCCAAGAUAAUCCAAGGACACCAAAAAGUCAAAGCUUGGGGAUGCCCCGGAAGGCAUCCCCUCUUUCGUCCACUUCCAUCGGUAAUUUACUUGGAGCUAUAUUUUUAUUCACCAACAUGAUAUGUGUUUUGCUUGGAGCGUCUUGUAUUAUUUGUGUCUUUGUUUGUUAGUAUGCCACAAUCAUCCUUGAUGUACACACCUUUUGAGAGAGCCAUACAUGAAUUAAAAUUUAAUAGAAUGCUCUAUGUGCUUCACUUAUAUCUUUUGAGCUAGAUAAUUUUGCUCUAUGUGCUUCACUUAUAUCUUUUGAGCUAGAUAAUUUUGCUCUAUUUGCUUCACUUAUAUCUUUUGAGCUAGAUAAUUUUGCUCUAUGUGCUUCACUUAGAUCUUUUAGAGCAUGGUGGUGGAUAUGUUUUAAAGAAACUAUUGAUCUCUCAUGCUUCACUUAAAUUAAUUUGAGAGUCUCUUAAUAGCAUGGUAAUUUGCCUAAUAAUAAUAUGCUUGGUAUUCAAGAUUUGUGAAACUUUCUUUUGAGUGUGUUGAAUACUAAGAAAAGAUUGAAGCAUGAUAAUUGUUUUGAGAUAUGGAGGUGAUAAUAUUAAAGUCAUGCUAGUUGAGUAGUUGUGAAUUUAAAGAAUACAUGUGUUGAAGUUAGUGAUUCCCGUAGCAUGCACGUAUGGUGAACCGUUAUGUGAUGAAGUCAGAGCAUGAUUUAUUUAUUGAUUUUCUUCCUUAUGAGUGGCGGUCGGGGACGAGCGAUGGUCUUUUCCUACCAAUCUACCCCCCUAGGAGCAUGCGCGUAAUACUUUGCUUUGAUAACUUCUAAAUUUUUGCAAUAAGUAUAUGAGUUCUUUAUGACUAAUGUUGAGUCCAUGGAUUAUACGCACUCUCACCCUUCCACCCUUGCCAGCCUCUCUAAUACCACGCAACUUUCGCCGGUAUCAUACACCUACCAUAUACCUUCCUCAAAACAGCCACCAUACCUACCUAUUAUGGCAUUUCCAUAGCCACUCCGAGAUAUAUUGCCAUGCAACUUUCCACCAUCUAGUUAAUCAUGACAUAUCCAUCAUUGUCAUAUUGCUUAGCAUGAUCAUGUAGUUGACAUAGUAUUUGUGGCAAAGCCACCGUUCAUAAUUCUUUCAUACUUGUCACUCUUGAUUCAUUGCAUAUCCCGGUACACCGCCGGAGGCAUUCAUAUAGAGUCAUACUUUGUUUUAGUAUCGAGUUGUAAUCAUUGAGUUGUAAAUAAAUAGAAGUGUGAUGAUCAUCAUUCAAUAGAGCAUUGUCCCAAAAAAGGCCAAAGAAAAAAAGAAGUCCCAAAAAAAGGGGGCAAUGCUACUAUCCUUUUUCCACACUUGUGCUUCAAAGUAGCACCAUGAUAUAGCGAGUCUCGUAUAUUGUGCUUCAAAGUAGCACCAUGUUCUUCAUAUAGAGAGUCUCAUAUGUUGUCACUUUCAUAUACUAGUGGGAAUUUUACGUUAUAGAACUUGGCUUGUAUUAUUCCAAUGAUGGGCUUCCUCAAAUUGCCCUAGGUCUUCGUGAGCAAGCAAGUUGGAUGCACACCCACUAGUUUAUUUUGUUGAGCUUUCAUACAUUUAUAGCUCUAGUGCAUCCGUUGCAUGGCAAUCCCUACUCACUCACGUUGAUAUCUAUUGAUGGGCAUAUCCAUAGCCCAUUGAUACGCCUAGUUGAUGUGAGACUAUCUUCUCCUUUUUGUCUUCUCCACAACCACCAUUCUAUUCCACCUAUAGUGCUAUAUCCAUGGCUCACGCUCAUGUAUUGCGUGAAGAUUGAAAAAGUUUUGAAAAAGUUAGAGUAUGAAACAAUUGCUUGGCUUGUCAUCAGGAUUGUGCAUGAUUUAAAUACUUUGUGUGGGGAAUAUGGAGCAUAGCCAGACUAUAUGAUUUUGUAGGGAUAACUUUCUUUGGCCAUGUUAUUUUGAGAAGACAUAAUUGCUUUGUUAGUAUGCUUGAAGUAUUAUUAUUUUCUAUGUCAAUAUAAACUUUUGUCUUGAAUCUUUCUAAUCUGAAUAUUCGUACCACAAUUAAGAAUAUUUGCAUUGAAAUUAUGCCAAGUAGCACUCUGCAUAAAAAAUUCUCUUUUUAUCAUUUACCUACUUGAGGACGAGCAGGAAUUAAGCUUGGGGAUGCCUGAUACGUCUCCAACGUAUCUAUAAUUUUUGAUUGCUCCAUGCUAUAUUAUCUACUGUUUUGGACUAUAUUGGGCUUUAUUUUCCACUUCUAUAUUAUUUUUGGGACUAACCUAUUAACCGGAGGCCCAACCCAGAAUUGUUGUUGUUUUGCCUAUUUCAGUGUUUCGGAUAAACAGAAUAUCAAACGGAGUCCAAACGGAAUAAAAUCUUCGGAAACGUGAUUUUCUCACCGAACGUGAUCCAGGAGACUUGCACCCUACUGCAAGGGAUCAAAGAGGUGGUCACGAGGGUGGGCCCCCCCUAGGGCGCGCCCCCCUGCCUCGUGGGCCCCUCGGUGCUCCACCGACGUACUCUUUCCUCCUAUAUAUACACACAUACCCCCAAACGAUCAGAACAGGAGCCAAAACCCUAAUUCCACCGCCGCAACUUUCUAUAUCCACGAGAUCCCAUCUUGGGGCCUGUUCCGGAGCUCCGCUGGAAGAGGGCCGUCAUCACGGAGGGCUUCUACAUCAUCCUAGCCCCUCCGAUGAAGUGUGAGUAGUUUACCUCAGACCUUCGGGUCCAUAGUUAGUAGCUAGAUGGCUUCUUCUCUCUCUUUGAAUCUCAAUACAAAGUUCUCCCCCUCUCUUGUGGAGAUCUAUUCGAUGUAAUCUUCUUUUUUCCGUGUGUUUGUUGAUGAAGGAAAUAUGCCCUAGAGGCAAUAAUAAAGUUAUUAUUUAUUUCCUUAUAUCAUGAUAAAUGUUUAUUAUUCAUGCUAGUAUUGUAUUAUCCGGAAACAUAAUACUUGUGUGAAUACAUAGACAAACUAAACGUCACUAGUGUGCCUCUACUUGACUAGCUCGUUAAUCGAAGAUGGUUAUGUUUCCUAACCAUAGACAUGUGUUGUCAUUUGAUUAACGGGAUCACAUCAUUAGGAGAAUGAUGUGAUUGACAUGACCCAUUCCAUUAGCUUAGCACCCGAUCGUUUAGUAUGUUGCUAUUGCUUUCUUCAUGACUUAUACAUGUUCCUAUGACUAUGAGAUUAUGCAACUCCCGUUUGCCGGAGGAACACUUUGUGUGCUACCAAACGUCACAACGUAACUGGGUGAUUAUAAAGGAGCUCUACAGGUGUCUCCAAAGGUACAUGUUGGGUUGGCGUAUUUCGAGAUUAGGAUUUGUCACUUCGAUUGUCGGAGAGGUAUCUGGGCCCUCUCGGUAAUGCACAUCACAUAAGCCUUGCAAGCAUUGCAACUAAUGAGUUAGUUGCGAGAUGAUGUAUUACGAAACGAGUAACGAGACUUGCCGGUAACGAGAUUGAGCUAGGUAUUAAGAUACCGACGAUCGAAUCUCGGGCAAGUAACAUACCGAUGACAAAGGGAACAAGGUAUGUUGUUAUGCGGUCUGACUGAUAAAGAUCUUCGUAGAAUGUGUAGGAGCCAAUAUGAGCAUCCAGGUUCCGCUAUUGGUUAUUGACCGGAGACGUGUCUCGGUCAUGUCUACAUUGUUCUUGAACCCGUAGGGUCCCCACGCUUAACGUUACGAUGAUAGUUUCAUUAUGAGUUUAUAUAUUUUGAUGUAUCGAAGUUUGUUCGGAGUCCCGGAUGUGAUCACGGACAUGACAAGGAGUCUCGAAAUGGUCGAGACAUAAAGAUUGAUAUAUUGGAAGCCUAUGUUUGGACAUCGGAAGUGUUCCGGGUGAAAUCGGCAUUUUACUGGAGUACUGGGAGGUUACCGGAACCCCCCGGUAACCUAAUGGGCCUUAAUGGGCCAAGUGGAGGAAGAGGAGAGGAGGCCUAGGGGCUGCCACGUGCCCCUCCCCUCCCCCAAGUCCGAAUUGGACAUGGAGGGGGGCGGCGCCCCCCCUUUCCUUUCUUCCCUCUCCUCCUUCCCCCCAAGUCCUAAUCCAACUAGGGAAAGGGGGGAGUCCUACUCCCGGUAGGAGUAGGACUCCUCCGGCGCGCCUCCUCCUAGGGCCGGCCGCACCCCCCCUUGCUCCUUUAUAUACGGGGGCAGGGGGCACCUCUAGACACACAAGUUGAUCUUCAAGAUCGUUCUCUUAGCCGUGAGCGGUGCCCCCCUCCACCAUAGUCCUCGAUAAUAUUGUAGUGGUGCUUAGGCAAAGCCCUGCGAUAGUAGAACAUCAAGAUCGUCACCACGCUGUCGUGCUGACGGAACUCUUCCCCGACACUUUGCUGGAUCGGAGUCCGGGGAUCGUCAUUGAGCUGAACGUGUGCUCAAACUCGGAGGUGUCGUAGUUUCGGUGCUUGAUAGGUCGGGCCGUGAAGACGUAUGACUACAUCAACUGCGUUGUCAUAACGCUUCCGCUGUCGGUCUACGAGGGUACGUAGACAACACUCUCCCCUCUCAUUGCUAUGCAUCACCAUGAUCUUGCGUGUGCGUAGGAAUUUUUUUGAAAUUACUACAUUCCCCAACAGUGGCAUCCGAGCCUAGGUUUUAUGUGUUGAUGUUGUGCACGAGUAGAACACAAGUGAGUUGUGGGCAUAUAAGUCAUACUGCUUACCAACAUGUCAUACUUUGGUUCGGUGGUAUUGUUGGAUGAAGCGGCCCGGACCGACAUUACGCGUACGCUUAUGCGAGACUGGUUCUACCGACGUGCUUUGCACACAGGUGGCUAGCGGGUGUCAGUUUCUUCAACUUUAGUUGAACCAAGUGUGGCUACGCCCGGUCCUUGCGAAGGUUAAAACAACACCAACUUGACAAACUAUCGUUGUGGUUUUGAUGCGUAGGGUAAGAUUGGUUAUUGCUUAAAGCCCGUAGAAGCCACGUAAAACUUGCAACAACAAAGUAGAGGACGUCUAACUUGUUUUUGCAGGGCAUGUUGUGAUGUGAUAUGGUCAAGACAUGAUGCUAAAUUUUAUUAUAUGAGAUGAUCAUGUUUUGUAAACGAGUUAUCGGCAACUGGCAGGAGCCAUAUGGUUGUCACUUUAUUGUAUGUAAUGCAAUUGCGCUAUAAUGCUUUACUUUAUCACUAAGCGGUAGCGAUAGUCGUGGAAGCAUAAGAUUGGCGAGACGACAACGAUGCUACGAUGGAGAUCAAGGUGUCGCGCCGGUGACGAUGGUGAUCAUGACGGUGCUUCGAAGAUAGAGAUCGCUAGCACAAGAUGAUGAUGGCCAUAUCAUAUCACUUAUAUUGAUUGCAUGUGAUGUUUAUCUUUUAUGCAUCUUAUCUUGCUUUGAUUGACGGUAGCAUUUUAAGAUGAUGUCUCACUAAUUAUCAAGAAGUGUUCUCCCUGAGUAUGCACCGUUGCGAAAGUUCUUCGUGCUGAGACACCACGUGAUGAUCGGGUGUGAUAGGCUCUACGUUCAAAUACAACGGGUGCAAAACAGUUGCACACGCGGAAUACUCAGGUUAUACUUGACGAGCCAAGCAUAUACAGAUAUGGCCUCGGAACACAGAGGCCGAAAGGUCGAGCGUGAAUCAUAUAGUAGAUAUGAUCAACAUAGUGAUGUUCACCAAUGAAACUACUCCAUCUCACGUGAUGAUCGGACAUGGUUUAGUUGAUUUGGAUCACGUGAUCACUUAGAGGAUUAGAGGGAUGUCUAUCUAAGUGGGAGUUCUUUAGUAAUAUGAUUAAUUGAACUUAAAUUUAUCAUGAACUUAGUACCAGAUAGUAUCUUGCUUGUUUAUGUUUGAUUGUAGAUAGAUGGCCCGUGCUGUUGUUCCGUUGAAUUUUAAUGCGUUCCUUGAGAAAGCAAAGUUGAAAGAUGAUGGUAGCAAUUACACGGACUGGGUCCGUAACUUGAGGAUUAUCCUCAUUGCUGCACAGAAGAAUUACGUCCUGGAAGCACCGCUGGGUGCCAGGCCUGCUGCUGAAGCAACACCAGAUGUUAUGAACGUCUAGCAGAGCAAAGCUGAUGACUACUCGAUAGUUCAGUGUGCCAUGCUUUACGGCUUAGAAUCGGGACUUCAACGAUGUUUUGAACGUCAUGGAGCAUAUGAGAUGUUCCAGGAGUUGAAGUUAAUAUUUCAAGCAAAUUCCCGGAUUGAGAGAUAUGAAGUCUCCAAUAAGUUCUAUAGCUGCAAGAUGGAGGAGAACAGUUCUGUCAGUGAGCAUAUACUCAAAAUGUCUGGGUAUAAUAAUCACUUGAUUCAAUUGGGAGUUAAUCUUCCAGAUGAUUGCGUCAUUGACAAAAUUCUCCAAUCACUUCCACCUAGCUAUAAGAGCUUCGUGAUGAACUAUAAUAUGCAAGGGAUGGUUAAGACAAUUCCCGAGCUCUUCGCAAUGCUAAAAGCUGCGGAGGUAGAAAUCAAGAAGGAGCAUCAAGUGUUGAUGGUUAACAAGACCACUAGUUUCAAGAAAAAGGGCAAAGGGAAGAAGAAGGGGAACUUCAAAAAGAACAGCAAGCAAGUUGCUGCUCAGGAGAAGAAACCCAAAUCUGGACCUAAGCCUGAAACUGAGUGCUUCUACUGCAAGUAGACUGGUCACUCGAAGCGGAACUGCCCCAAGUAUUUGGCGGAUAAGAAGGAUGGCAAGGUGAACAAAGGUAUAUAUGAUAUACAUGUUAUUGAUGUGUACCUUACUAAUGCUCGCAGUAGCACCUGGGUAUUUGAUACUGGUUCUGUUGCUAAUAUUUGCAACUCGAAACAGGGAAUACGGAUUAAGCGAAGAUUGGUUAAGGACGAGGUGACGAUGCGCGUGGGAAAUGGUUCCAAAGUCGAUGUGAUCACGGUCGGCACGCUACCUCUACAUCUACCUUCGGGAUUAGUAUUAGACCUAAAUAAUUGUUAUUUGGUGCCAACGUUGAGCAUGAACAUUAUAUCUGGAUCUUGUUUGAUGCGAGACGGUUAUUCAUUUAAAUCAGAGAAUAAUGGUUGUUCUAUUUAUAUGAGUAAUAUCUUUUAUGGUCAUGCACCCUUGAAGAGUGGUCUAUUCUUAUUAAAUCUCGAUAGUAGUGACACACAUAUUCAUAAUGUUGAAGCCAAAAGAUGCAAAGUUGAUAAUGAUAGUGCAACUUAUUUGUGGCACUACCGUUUAGGUCAUAUCGGUGUAAAGCACAUGAAGAAACUCCAUACCGAUGGACUUUUGGAACCACUUGAUUAUGAAUCACUUGGUACUUGCGAACCGUGCCUUAUGGGCAAGAUGACCAAAACACCGUUCUCCGGUACUAUGGAGAGAGCAACAGAUUUGUUGGAAAUCAUACAUACAGAUGUAUGUGGUCCGAUGAAUAUUGAGGCUCGUGGCGGAUAUCAUUAUUUUCUCACCUUCACAGAUGACUUAAGCAGAUAUGGGUAUAUCUACUUAAUGAAACAUAAGUCUGAAACAUUUGAAAAGUUCAAAGAAUUUCAGAGUGAAGUUGAAAAUCAUCAUAACAAGAAAAGAAAAUUCCUACGAUCUGAUCGUGGAGGAGAAUAUUUGAGUUACGAGUUUGGUGUACAUUUGAAACAAUGCGGAAUAGUUUCGCAACUCACGCCACCAGGAACACCACAGCGUAAUGGUGUGUCCGAACGUCGUAAUCGUACUUUACUAGAUAUGGUGCGAUCUAUGAUGUCUCUUACUGAUUUACCGCUAUCGUUUUGGGGUUAUGCUUUAGAGACGGACGCAUUCACGUUAAAUAGGGCACCAUCAAAAUCCGUUGAGAUGACGCCUUAUGAACUGUGGUUUGGCAAGAAACCAAAGUUGUCGUUUCUGAAAGUUUGGGGCUGCGAUGCUUAUGUGAAAAAGCUUCAACCUGAUAAGCUCGAACCCAAAUCGGAGAAAUGUGUCUUCAUAGGAUAUCCAAAGGAAACUAUUGGAUACACCUUCUAUCACAGAUCCGAAGGCAAGACUUUUGUUGCUAAAUUCGGAAACUUUCUAGAGAAGGAGUUUCUACCGAAAGAAGUGAGUGGGAGGAAAGUAGAACUUGAUGAGGUAACUGUACCUGCUCACUUAUUGGAAAGUAGUACAUCACAGAAACCGGUUUCUGUGACACCUACACCAAUUAGUGAGGAAGCUAAUGAUGAUGAUCAUGAAACUUCAGAACAAGAUACUGCUGAACCUCAUAGAUCGACCAGAAUAAGAUCCGCACCAGAGUGGUACGGUAAUCCUGUUCUGGAAGUCAUGCUACUAGAUCAUGAUGAACCUACGAACUAUGGAGAAGCGAUGGUGAGCCCAGAUUCCGCAAAAUGGCUUGAAGCCAUGAAAUCUGAGAUGGGAUCCAUGUAUGAGAAUAAAGUGUGGACUUUGGUUGACUUGCCUAAAGAUCGGCAAGCAAUUGAGAAUAAAUGGAUCUUCACGAAGAAGACUGACGCUGACGGUAAUGUUACUGUCUACAAAGCUCGACUUGUCACAAAAGGUUUUCGACAAGUUGAAGGGAUUGACUACGAUGAGACCUUCUCACCCGUAGCGAUGCUUAAGUCUGUCCGAAUCAUGUUAGCAAUUGCCGCAUUUUAUGAUUAUGAAAUUUGGCAGAUGGAUGUCAAAACUGCAUUCCUAAAUGGAUUUCUAGAAGAAGAGUUGUAUAUGAUGCAGCCGGAAGGUUUUUUCGAUCCAAAGGGAGCUAACAAAGUGUGCAAGCUCCAGCGAUCCAUUUAUGGACUGGUGCAAGCCUCUCGGAGUUGGAAUAAACGCUUUGAUAAUGUGAUCAAAGCAUUUGGUUUUGUAUAGACUUUUGGAGAAGCCUGUAUUUACAAGAAAGUGAGUGGGAGCUCUGUAGCAUUUAUGAUAUUAUAUGUAGAUGACAUAUUACUAAUCAGAAAUGAUAUAGAAUUUCUGGAUAGCAUAAAGGGAUACUUGAAUAAGAGUUUUUCAAUGAAAGACCUCGGUGAAGCUGCUUACAUAUUGGGCAUUAAGAUCUAUAGAGAUAGAUCAAGACGCUUAAUUGGACUUUCACAAAGCACAUACCUUGACAAAGUUUUGAAGAAGUUCAAAAUGGAUCAAGCAAAGAAAGGAUUCUUGCCCGUGUUACAAGGUGUGAAAUUGAGUAAGACUCAAUGCCCGACCACUGCAGAAGAUAGAGAGGAAAUGAAAGAUGUUCCCUAUGCUUCAGCCAUAGGCUCUAUCAUGUAUGCAAUGCUGUGUACCAGACCUGAUGUAUGUCUUGCUAUAAGUCUAGCAGGGAGGUACCAAAGUAAUCCAGGAGUGGAUUACUGGACAGCGGUCAAGAACAUCCUGAAAUACCUGAAAAGGACUAAGGAUAUGUUUCUCAUAUAUGGAGGUGACAAAGAGCUCAUCGUAAAUGGUUACGUUGUUGCAAGCUUUGACACUGAUCCGGACGAUUCUAAAUCGCAAACUGGAUACGUGUUUACAUUAAACGGUGGAGCUGUCAGUUGGUGCAGUUCUAAACAAAGCGUUGUGGUGGGAUCUACAUGUGAAGUGGAGUACAUAGCUGCUUCGGAAGCAGCAAACGAAGGAGUUUGGAUGAAGGAGUUCAUAUCCGAUCUAGGUGUCAUACCUAGUGCAUCGGGUCCUAUGAAAAUCUUUUGUGACAAUACUGGUGCAAUUGCCUUGGCAAAAGAAUCCAGAUUUCACAAGAGAACCAAGCACAUCAAGAGACACUUCAAUUCCAUCAGGGAUCUAGUCCAGGUGGGAGACAUAGAGAUUUGCAAGAUACAUACGGAUCUGAAUGUAGCAGACCCGUUGACUAAGCCUCUUCCACGAGCAAAACAUGAUCAACACCAAAGCUCCAUGGGUGUUAGAAUCAUGAGAAAAUUCCUUAUUUGACACUAUCUUAAAAUCUGCUUCCUUAUUUGACACUGGAAAAGUUUUUCUUCCCUAUUUGACACAAGUUCUAAAUUUUAUUCCCUAUAUGACAUUUUCGUCCAUUUUGAGCCUAAAUGACACCUGAAAAGACUCUUUUGCCCCUUAUGUGGUAUGUGUGUGGGGGGCAAUAGCGCACACACGCAGCAUCAAUGUGAAGGCAGGAGCACACACGCAGCAACACAUACACAUGCACCAACACACACGCACGCGCGCGCGUGCACACACACACACGCACGCACGUAGCACACACCCACAUACACACACACACACGCAUCAGCAGCACACACGCAGGCAGCACAUAGGCACGCAACAACACACACACGCGCGCACGUACACACGCAGUAGCAAACACACACGCAGCAGCACACAUGCACACACACAUGUAGCAGCAGCACACAUGUGCGCGUGCACCCACACACGCAACAGCACACGCACGCGCGCACACAUACCGCAUGAGGGGCAAAAUCGUCUUUUCAGGUGUCAUUUAGGCUCAAAAUGGACGGAAGUGUCGUAUAGGGAAUAAAAUUUAGGACUAGUGUCAAAUAGGGAAGAAAAACUUUUCAAGUGUCAAAUAAGGAACCAGAUUUUAAGACAGUGUCAAAUAAGGAAUUUUCUCUAGAAUCAUUACUGUGUAAUCUAGAUCAUUGACUCUUGUGCAAGUGGGAGACUGAAGGAAAUAUGCCCUAGAGGCAAUAAUAAAGUUAUUAUUUAUUUCCUUAUAUCAUGAUAAAUGUUUAUUAGUCAUGCUAGUAUUGUAUUAUCCGGAAACAUAAUACUUGUGUGAAUACAUAGACAAACUAAACGUCAUCAGUGUGCCUCUACUUGACUAGCUCGUUAAUCGAAGAUGGUUAUGUUUCCUAACCAUAGACAUGUGUUGUCAUUUGAUUAACGGGAUCACAUCAUUAGGAGAAUGAUGUGAUUGACAUGACCCAUUCCAUUAGCUUAGCACCCGAUCGUUUAGUAUGUUGCUAUUGCUUUCUUCAUGACUUAUACAUGUUCCUAUGACUAUGAGAUUAUGCAACUCCCGUUUGCCGGAGGAACACUUUGUGUGCUACCAAACGUCACAACAUAACUGGGUGAUUAUAAAGGAGCUCUACAGGUGUCUCCAAAGGUACAUGUUGGGUUGGUGUAUUUCGAGAUUAGGAUUUGUCACUCCGAUUGUUGGAGAGGUAUCUCUGGGCCCUCUCGGUAAUGCACAUCACAUAAGCCUUGUAAGCAUUGCAACUAAUGAGUUAGUUGCGAGAUGAUGUAUUAUGGAAUGAGUAAAGAGACUUGCCGGUAACGAGAUUGAACUAGGUAUUAAGAUACCGACGAUCGAAUCUCGGGCAAGUAACAUACCGAUGACAAAGGGAACAACGUAUGUUGUUAUGCGGUCUGACCGAUAAAGAUCUUCAUAGAAUAUGUAGGAGCCAAUAUGAGCAUCCAGGUUCCGCUAUUGGUUAUUGACCGGAGACGUGUCUCGGUCAUGUCUACAUUGUUCUCGAACCCGUAGGGUCCGCAUGCUUAACGUUACGAUGAGAGUUUCAUUAUGAGUUUAUAUAUUUUGAUGUACCGAAGUUUGUUUGGAGUCACGGAUGUGAUCACGGACAUGACGAGGAGUCUCGAAAUGGUUGAGACAUAAAGAUGGCAAAAUUUUGUUUUUGCCACUCUAGAUUUUGCCAAUUUUUCUUAUGCCACUCUAGAUUUUGACAUUUCACUUUUGCCACUCUUAGCUUUUGACAAUUAUCACAAUUGCCAUUCUGUGGCAAAAGCAAAAUAAUUUUAUUUCAUUUUUGCCACUCUUAGCUUUUGACAAUUAUCACAAUUGCUACUCUGAAAAUUUUGCUUUUUCCACGGGAAUGGAAAUUGUGAUAAUUGUCAAAAACUAAGAGUGGCAAAAGUGAAAUGUCAAAAUCUAGAGUGGCAUAAGGAAAAUUGGCAAAAUCUAGAGUGGCAAAAACAAAAAUUUUCCCAUAAAGAUUGAUAUAUUGGAAGCCUAUGUUUGGACAUCGAAAGUGUUCCGGGUGAAAUCGGCAUUUUACCGGAGUACCGAGAGGUUACCGGAACCCCCCGGUAACCUAAUGGGCCUUAAUGGGCCUAGUGGAGGAAGAGGAGCGGAGGCCUAGGGGCUGCCGCGCGCCCCUCCCCCCCCCCCCCCAAGUCCGAAUUGGACAAGGAGGGGGGGCGGUGCCCCUCCCUUUCCUUUCUUCCCUCUCCUCCUUCCCCCAAGUCCUAAUCCAACUAGGGAAAGGGGGAGUCCUACUCCCGGUAGGAGUAGGACUCCUCCGGCGCGCCUCCUCCUAGGGCCGGCCGCACCCCCCUUGCUCCUUUAUAUAUGGGGGUAGGGGGGCACCCCUAGACACACAAGUUGAUCUUCAAGAUCGUUCUCUUAGCCGUGUGCGGUGCCCCCCUCUACCAUAGUCCUUGAUAAUAUUGUAGUGGUGCUUAGACGACGCCCUGCGACAUUAGAACAUCAAGAUCAUCACCACGCCGUCGUGCUGACGGAACUCUUCCCCGACACUUUGCUGGAUCGGAGUCCGGGGAUCGUCAUCGAGCUGAACGUGUGCUAAAACUCGGAGGUGCCGUAGUUUCGGUGCUUGAUCGGUCGGGCCGCGAAGACGUACGACUACAUCAACCGCGUUGUCAUAACGCUUCCGCUGUCGGUCUACGAGGGUACGUAGACAACACUAUCCCCUCUCGUUGCUAUGCAUCACCAUGAUCUUGCGUGUGCGUAGGAAUUUUUUUGAAAUUACUACGUUCCCCAACAGUUGAGACCGAUGAAUUGUGGGUUUAUGAUCAAGUCUAUCUAUGAAUAAUAUUUGAAUCUUCUUUGAAUUCUUUUAUGCAUGAUUGGUUAUCUUUGCAAGUCUCUUCGAAUUAUCCGUUUGGUUUGGCCAACUAGAUUGGUAGUUCUUGCCAUGGGAGAAGUGCUUAGCUUUGGGUUCGAUCUUGUGGUGUCCUUACCCAGUGAUAGAAGGGGCAGCAAGGCACGUAUUGUAUCGUUGCCAUCAAGGAUAACAAGAUGGGGUUUAUUUCAUAUUCCAUGAAUUUAUCUCUCUACAUCAUGUCACCUUGCUUAAGGCGUCACUCUGGCUUUAACUUAAUACUCUAGAUGCAUGCUGGAUAGCGGUCGAUGAGUGGAGUAAUAGUAGUAGAUGCAGAAUCGUUUUGAUCUACUUGUCACGGACGUGAUGCCUAUAUACAUGAUCAUGCCUAGAUAUUCUCAUAAUUAUGCACAAUUCUAUCAAUUGCUCAACAGUAAUUUGUUCACCCACCGUAGAAUACUUAUGCUCUUGAGAUAAGCCACUAGUGAAACCUAUGGCCCCCGGGUCUAUUCUCAUUAUAUCAAUCUCCAUCACUUUUAUAUUUCUUUGCUAUUUACUUUGCCUUUACUUUUUUACUUUGCAUCUUUAUAUCAAAAAUACCAAAAAUAUUCUAUCUAUCAGAUCUCACUCUCGUAAGUGACCGUGAAGGGCUUGACAACCCCUAAUCGCAUUGGUUGCGAGUAGCUAUUGCUUUGUGCAGGUACGAGGGACUUGAGCGUGGGCUCCUACUGGAUUGAUACCUUGGUUCUCAAAAACUGAGGGAAGUACUUACGCUACUCUGCUGCAUCAUCCCUUCCUCUUCGAGGAAAACCAACGCAAGCUCAAGACGUAGCACCCCCCACCCUCGUGAGCACCUCCCGUAUCUCCUGACGUGGAGUCCAAGUCUAUCCGGUGGCUUUCGUUCCAAAAAUAACUUCUGCAGUUGAUUUCAUUCCGUUUCGACUCCGUUUGAUAUUCCUUUUUCUCAAAACACUGAAAUAGGCAUAAAACAGCAAAUCUGGGCUGGGCCUCCGGUUAAUAGGUUAGUCCAAAAAAUAAUAUAAAGUGGAAAAUAAAUCCCAAUAUUGCCUAAAACAGUAGAUACUAUAGCAUGGAGCAAUCAAAAAUUAUAGAUACGUUGGAGACGUAUCAAGCAUCCCCAAGCUUAAUUCCUGCUCGUCCUCGAGUAGGUAAAUGAUAAAAAGAUAAUUUUUGAUGUGGAAUGCUAGUUGGCAUAAUCUCAAUGUAAUUCUUCCUACUUGUGAUAUGAAUAUUCAGAUCCGAAAGAUUCAAGACAAAAGUUCAUUUUGACAUAAAAAUAAUAAUACUUCAAGCAUACUAACUAAGCAAUCAUGUAUUCUCAAAAUAACAUGGCUAAAGAAAGCUGUCCCUACAAAAUCAUAUAGUCUGGCAAUGCUCCAUCUUCACCACACAAAAUAUUUAAAUCAUGCACAACCCCGAUGACAAGCCAAGCAAUUGUUUCAUACUUUUGAUGUUCUCAAACUUUUUCAAUCUUCACGCAAUAGAUGAGCGUGAGCCAUGGACAUAGCACCAUAGGUGGAAUAGAAUGGUGGUUGUGGAGAAGACAAAAAUGGAGAAGAUAGUCUCACAUUGACUAGGCGUAUCAACGGGCUAUGGAGAUGCCCAUCAAUAGAUAUCAAUGUGAGUGAGUAGGGAUUGCCAUGCAACGGAUGCACUAGAGCUAUAAGUAUAUGAAAGCUCAACAAAAGAAACUAGUGGGUGUGCAUCCAACUCGCUUGCUCACGAAGACCUAGGGCACUUGAGGAGGCCCAUUGUUGGAAUAUACAAGCCAAGUUCCAUAAUGAAAAAUUCCCACUAGUAUAUGAAAGUGACAACAUAUGAGACUCUCUAUCAUGAAGAUCAUGGUGCUACUUUGAAGCACAAGUGUGGUAAAAGGAUAGUAGCAUUGCCCCUUCUCUCUUUUUCUCUCAUUUUUUUAUUUUUUAUUUUUUAUUUGGGCCUUCUCUUUUUUUAUGGCCUCUUUUUUUUGGGCUUCUUUGGCCUCUCUUUUUUAUUUUUCGUCUGGAGUCUCAUCCCGACUUGUGGGGGAAUCAUAGUCUCCAUCAUCCUUUCCUCACUGGGACAAUGCUCUAAUAAUGAUGAUCAUCACACUUUUAUUUUUCUUACAACUCAAGAAUUACAACUUGAUACUUAGAACAAGAUAUGACUCUAUAUGAAUGCCUCCGGCGGUGUACCAGGAUGUGCAAUGAUGCAUGAGUGACAUGUAUGAAAGAAUUAUGAACGGUGGCCUUGCCACAAAUACGAUGUCAACUACAUGAUCAUGCAAAGCAAUAUGACAAUGAUGAAGCGUGUCAUAAUAAUGGAAUGGUGGAAAGUUGCAUGGCAAUAUAUCUCGGAAUGGCUAUGGAAAUGCCAUAAUAGGUAGGUAUGGUGGCUGUUUUGAGGAAGGUGUAUGGUGGGUUUAUGGUACCGGCGAAAGUUGCGCGGUACUAGAGAGGCUAGAAAUGGUGGAAGGGUGAGAGUGCGUAUAAUCCAUGGACUCAACAUUAGUCAUAAAGAACUCACAUACUUAUUGCAAAAAUCUAUUAGUUAUCGAAACAAAGUAUUACGCGCAUGCUCCUAGGGGGAUAGAUUGGUAGGAAAAGAGUCCCCGACCGCCACUCGUAAGGAAGACAAUCAGUAAAUAAAUCAUGCUCCGACUUCAUCACAUAACGGUUCACCACAAGUAUGGGAAUCACAAACUUCAACACAAGUAUUUCUCAAAUUCACAACCACUCAACUAGCAUGACUCUAAUGUCACCAUCUCCAUAUCUCAAAACAAUUAUCAAGUAUCAAACUUCUCAUAGUAUUCAACACACUCAUAAGAGAAUUUUAUUAUUCUUGAAUACCCAGCAUAUUAGGAUUUUAAGCAAAUUACCAUGCUAUUAAGACUCUCAAAAUAAUAUAAGUGAAGCAUGAGAGUUCAUCUAUUUCUUCAAAAUAAAACUACCACCAUGCUCUAAAAGGAUAUAAGUGAAGCACUAGAGCAACAACAAACUACUCUGAAAGAUAUAAGUGAAGAUCAAUGAGUAGUCGAAUAAUUAUGCAACUAUGUGAAGCCUCUCUAACAUUUAAUAAUUUCGGAUCUUGAUACUUUAUUCAAACAGCAAGCAAAACAAAUUAAAUGACAUUCUAAGAAUAGCAAACAUCAUGUGAAGAAGCAAAAACUUAGGAUCAACCGAAACUAACCGAUAGUUGUUGUAGAAGAAAGGUGGGAUGCCAACCGGGGCAUCCCCAAGCUUAGACGCUUGAGACUUCUUGAAAUAUUAUAUUGGGGUGCCUUGGGCAUACCCAAGCUUGAGCUUUUGUGUCUCCUUAAUUCCUCUCAUAUCAUGGUCUCCCUAAAUCUCAAAAGAUUCAUCCACACAAAACUCAACAAGGACUCGUGAAUAAGUUAGUAUAAACCAUUGCCAAAACCUUAUCAUACUCUACUGUAGCAAAUCACUAAAAUUAGUAUUCAACAUUGCAUACUAAAUGCCUCUGCAUAUUUAAUAGUCCUAUCCUCAAAUAGAAUAAUUAAAGAAGCAAACAUAUGCAAACAAUGCAAACAUAACAGCAAUCUGCCUAAACAGGAUAACCUCUAAAGAAUGCUGCAACAUCCAUACUUCCCUAGAUCCAAAAAUUAUGAAAUAAAAUUCACACUGUAGUAAAUUUAUCAUAGCUUAAUAUGCAAAAGGUUUCAACAUUUUAUCACAUUCUGACUUUUCUAGGGAAUUAUUUCAACAGAGGUAAACUUUCUGUUUUCAAACAGCAACAUGUAUACUUGUAACAUAGGCAUAGUAAAGGCUAUCAAUGCCACUUUUAUUGAAAUAAAAGAUGCAAAACAUUGUUCUAAAUAACAUAAAGAAAAUCCUAACAAAAUAAAUUGACGCUCCAAGCAAAACACAUAUCAUGUGGCGAAUAAAAAUAUAGCUCCAAGUAAAGUCACCGAUGAAUGAAGACGAAAGAGGGGAUGCCUUCCGGGGCAUCCCCAAGCUUAGGCUCUUGGCUAUCCUUGAAUAUUACCUUGGGGUGCCUUGGUCAUCCACAAGCUUAGGCUCUUUCCACUCCUUAUUCCAUAGUCCAUCGAAUCCUUACCCAAAACUUGAAAACUUCACAACACAAAACUUAACAGAAAACUCGUAAGCUCCGUUAGUAUAAGAAAAUAAAUCACCACUACAAGGUACUGUAAUGAACUCAUUAUUUAUUUAUAUUGGUGUUAAACCUACUUUAUUACAACUUAUCUAUGGUUUAUAAACUAUUUUACUAGCCAUAGAUUCAUCAAAAUAAGCAAACAAGACACGAAAAACAGAAUCUGUCAAAAACAGAACAGUCUGUAGUAAUCUGGAUCAAACGUAUACUUCUGGAACUCAUAAAAUUCUCAAAUAAAUUGCUGGACCUUAGGAAUUUAUCUAUUAAUCAUCUAAAAAAGAAUUAACUAAAUAGCACUCUCCAAAUAAAAAUGGCAGCAAUUCUCGUGAGCGCUAAAGUUUCUGUUUUUUACAGCAUGGUCGACAAGACUUUCCCCAAGUCUUCCCAACGGUUCUACUUGGCACAAGCACUAAUUAAAAGCAUAAAACCACAUAUAAACAGAGGCUAGAUGAAUUAUUUAUUACUAAACAGGAAUAAAAGGUAAGGAACUAAAAUAGAAUUGGGUUGCCUCCCAACAAGCGCUAUCGUUUAACACCCCUAGCUAGGCAUGAUGAUUUCAAUGAUGCUCACAUAAAAGAUAAGAAUUGUAACAUAAAGAGAGCAUCUUGAAGAAUAUGACUAGCACAUUUAAGUCUAACCCACUUACUAUGCAUGGGGAUUUUGUGACCAAACAACUUGUGGGAACAAUAAUCAACUAGCAUAGGAAGGUAAAACAAGCAUAACUUCAAAACUUUAAGCACAUAGAGAGGAAACUUGAUAUUAUUGCAAUUCCUACAAGCAUAUAUUCCUUCGUCAUAAUAAUUUUCAGUAGCAUCAUGAAUGAAUUUAACAAUAUAACCAGUACCUAAAGCAUUAUUUUCAUGAUCUACAAGCAUAGAAAAUUUAUUACUCUCCACAUAAGCAAAAUUCUUCUUAUUCGGAAUAGUGCGAGUAUCAUAGGAAACUUCAAUACUAUAAAUUGUUUCCACAUUAAAAGAGUAAUGUUCAGAUAAGGGGUCAUCAUAAUCAUGACAAGUUUUAUAAAUAUAAUCACUACUUUUUAUAGCAUAAGUAUCAUCACAAUAAUCAUCAUAAGUAGGAGGCAUGCUAUAAUCAUUAUAAACUUGCAUAUCAAAACUUGAGAGACUAAAAAUAUCAUGUUCGUUAAUCAUAGCUUCCCCAAGCUUGGGACAAACAUUAAUUGCAGCAAAUAUAUUCUCAAAUAUGUCAUCCUCAUCAAACAUAGCUUCCCCAAGCUUGGGCCUUUUCAUAUCAUAAGCAUAAUCACUCUCAUCAUUAAUAGUAUAGAUAGCACCGAUAGUAUAGCAAUUAUUAUAUUCUUCCAAGCAAGUACCAAAAAGAUUUUCAAGAUCAUAAGAAGUAUCAUUAUAUUCCCAAUCAUAAUCAUCACAACAAGCAAUAGGCAUAACGAGAUCAUCAUCAAGUGUAUCAUCUUCAUUUUCAUGAUGCACAACAAUAAUAGGAGCAACUUUAUUUGGGAGAGAUACCUUUUUACCUCUCUUCCUUUUUCUUUUCUUCUUAUUCACCACAUCAUGUGUGGGUUCAAUCCUCUUUUUGGAGCUCCUUAUUAAUGAGAUUGGUUGAAUAGGAGGCUCCUCCUCGUUACCUGAUUCAUCAUAAGAAAUAAUAGGAGGAUAUUGGGAAGUCUCUUCCCUUCCAUUAGUAUUCUCUUCACCCUAUAUUUGUUUUCUUUUCUUUAUGUAAUUGGCAAUAUAAGGAUUUGUUGGGGAACGUAGUAAUUUCAAAAACUUUCCUAUGCACACACAAGAUCAUGGUGAUGCACAACAACGAGAGGGGAGAGUGUUGUCUACGUACCCUCGUAGACCGGAAGCAGAAGCGUUAUAACAACGCGGUUGAUGUAGUCAUACGUCUUCACGGCCCGGCCGAUCAAGCACCGAAACUACGACACCUCCGAGUUUUUGCACACGUUCAGCUCGAUGACGAUCCCUGGACUCCGAUCCAGCAAAGUGUAGGGGAUGAGUUCCGUCAGCACGAUGGUGUGGUGACGAUCUUGAUGUUCUACCAUCGUAGGGCUUCGCCUAAGCACCGCUACAAUAUUAUCGAGGAUUAUGGUGGAGGGGGGGCACCGCACACGGCUAAGAGAUCAAUGAUCAAUUGUUGUGUCUCUGGGGUGCCCCCUGCCCCCGUAUAUAAAGAAGUGGAGGAGGGGGCCGACCAAGGAGGGUGGCGCGCCCAAGGGGGGAGUCCAACUCCCACCGGGAGUAGGACUCAGGAAGAGGAAGGAGGGAGGAAGGAAAGGGGGGCUGGCCCCCUUCCCAAUUCGGAUUGGGCUUGGGGGGCGCGCCCCCUCCCUUGCUCCUUUCCCCUCCUUUCCACUAAGGCCCAAUAAGGCCCAUAUACCUCCCGGGGGGUUCCGAUAACCUCCCGGUGAUCCGGUAUUGUCCCAAUCUUACCCAGAACCUUUCCGGUGUCCAAAUAUAGUCGUCCAAUAUAUCGAUCUUUAUGUCUCGACCAUUUCAAGACUCCUCGUCUAGUCAGUGAUCACAUCUGGGACUCCAAACAACCUUCGGUACAUCAAAAUAUAUAAACUCAUAAUGAAACUGUCAUCGUAACGUUAAGCGUGCGGACCCUACGGGUUCGAGAACAAUGUAGACAUGACCGAGACACGUCUCCGGUCAAUAACCAAUAGCGGAACCUGGAUGCUCAUAUUGGCUCCUACAUAUUCUACGAAGAUCUUUAUCGGUCAAACCGCAUAACAACAUACGUUGUUCCCUUUGUCAUUGGUAUGUUACUUGCCCGAGAUUCGAUCAUCGGUAUCUCAAUACCUAGUUCAAUCUCGCUACCGGCAAGUCUCUUUACUCGUUCCGUAAUACAUCAUCUUGCAACUAACUUAUCAGUUGCAUUGCUUGCAAGGCUUAAGUGAUGCAUAUUACCGAGAGGGCCCAGAGAUACCUCUCCGACAAUCGAGCGACAAAUCCUAAUCUCGAAAUACGCCAACCCAACAUGUACCUUUGGAGACACCUGUAGAGCACCUUUAUAAUCACCCAGUUACGUUGUGACGUUUGGUAGCACACAAAGUGUUCCUCCGGUAAACGGGAGUUGCAUAAUCUCAUAGUCAUAGGAACAUGUAUAAGUCAUGAAGAAAGCAAUGGCAACAUACUAAACGAUCGGGUGCUAAGCUAAUGGAAUGGGUCAUGUCAAUCACAUCAUUCUCCUAAUUAUGUGAUCCCGUUAAUCAAAUGACAACCCAUGUCUAUGGUUAGGAAACAUAACCAUCUUCGAUUAACGAGCUGGUCAAGUAGAGGCAUACUAGUGACACUUUGUUUGUCUAUGUAUUCACACAAGUAUUACGUUUCCGGUUAAUACAAUUCUAGCAUGAAUAAUAAACAUUUAUCAUGAUAUAAGGAAAUAAAUAAUAACUUUAUUAUUGCCUCUAGGGCAUAUUUCCUUCAGUCUCCCACUUGCACUAGAGUCAAUAAUCUAGAUUACACAGUAAUGAUUCUAACACCAAUGGAGCCUUGGUGCUGAUCAUGUCUUGCUCGUGGAAGAGGCUUAGUCAAUGGGUCUGCUACAUUCAGAUCCGUAUGUAUCUUGCAAAUCUCUAUGUCUCCCACCUGGACUAGAUCCCAGAUGGAAUUGAAGCAUCUCUUGAUGUGCUUGGUUCUCUUGUGAAAUCUGGAUUCCUUUGCUAAGGCAAUUGCACCAGUAUUGUCACAAAAGAUUUUCAUUGGACCCGAUGCACUAGGUAUGACACCUAGAUCGGAUAUGAACUCCUUCAUCCAGACUCCUUCGUUUGCUGCUUCCGAAGCAGCUAUGUACUCCGCUUCACAUGUAGAUCCCGCCACGACGCUUUGUUUAGAACUGCACCAACUGACAGCUCCACCGUUUAAUGUAAAUACGUAUCCGGUUUGCGAUUUAGAAUCGUCCGAAUCAGUGUCAAAGCUUGCAUCAAUGUAACCAUUUAUGAUGAGCUCUUUGUCACCCCCAUAUACGAGAAACAUAUCCUUAGUCCUUUUCAGGUAUUUCAGAAUGUUCUUGACCGCUGUCCAGUGAUCCACUCCUGGAUUACUUUGGUACCUCCCUGCUAGACUUAUAGCAAGGCACACAUCAGGUCUGGUACACAGCAUUGCAUACAUGAUAGAGCCUAUGGCUGAAGCAUAGGGAACAUCUUUCAUUUUCUCUCUAUCUUCUGCAGUGCUCGGGCAUUGAGUCUUACUCAACUUCACACCUUGUAACACAGGCAAGAAUCCUUUCUUUGCUUGAUCCAUUUUGAACUUCUUCAAAACUUUGUCAAGGUAUGUGCUUUGUGAAAGUCUAAUUAAGCGUCUUGAUCAGUCUCUAUAGCUCUUAAUGCCCAAUAUGUAAGCAGCUUCACUGAGGUAUUUCAUCGAAAAACUCUUAUUCAAGUAUCCCUUUAUGCUAUCCAGAAAUUCUAUAUCAUUUCCGAUUAGCAAUAUGUCAUCCACAUAUAAUAUCAGAAAUGCUACAGAGCUCCCACUCACUUUCUUGUAAAUACAGGCUUCUCCAAAAGUCUGUACAAAACCAAAUGCUUUGAUCACACUAUCAAAGUGUUUAUUCCAACUCUGAGAUGCUUGCACCAGUCCAUAAACGGAUCGCUGGAGCUUGCACACUUUGUUAGCUCCUUUUGGAUCGACAAAACCUUUCGGCUGCAUCAUAUACAACUCUUCUUCCAGAAAUCCAUUCAGGAAUGCAGUUUUGACAUCCAUCUGCCAAAUUUCAUAAUCAUAAAAUGCGGCAAUUGCUAACAUGAUUCGGACAGACUUAAGCAUCGCUACGGGUGAGAAGGUCUCAUCGUAGUCAAUUCCUUGAACUUGUCGAAAACCUUUUGCGACAAGUCGAGCUUUGUAGACAGUAACAUUACCGUCAGCGUCAGUCUUCUUCUUGCAGAUCCAUUUAUUUUCAAUUGCUUGCCGAUCAUUGAGCAAGUCAACCAAAGUCCACACUUUGUUCUCAUACAUGGAUCCCAUCUCAGAUUUCAUGGCUUCAAGCCAUUUUGCGGAAUCUGGGCUCACCAUUGCUUCUUCAUAGUUUGUAGGUUCAUCAUGAUCUAGCAGCAUGACUUCCAGAACAGGAUUACCGUACCACUCUGGUGCGGAUCUUACUUUGGUUGAUCUACGAGGUUCAGUAGUAUCUUGUUCUGAAGUUUCAUGAUCAUCAUCAUUAGCUUCCUCACUAAUUGGUGUAGGUGUCACAGAAACCGGUUUCAGUGAUGUACUACUUUCCAAUAAGGGAGCUGGUACAGUUACCUCAUCAAGUUCUACUUUCCUCCCACUCACUUCUUUCGAGAGAAACUCCUUCUCUAGAAAGGAUCCAUUCUUAGCAACAAAUGUCUUGCCUUCGUAUCUGUGAUAGAAGGUGUACCCAACAGUCUCCUUCGGGUAUCCUAUGAAGACACAUUUCUCUGAUUUGGGUUCGAGCUUAUCAGUUUGAAGCUUUUUCACAUAAGCAUCGCAACCCCAAACUUUCAGAAAUGACAACUUUGGUUUCUUGCCAAACCAUAGUUCAUAAGGUGUCGUCUCAAUGGAUUUUGAUGGUGCCCUAUUUAACGUGAAUGCGGCCGUCUCUAAAGCAUAACCCCAAAACGAUAGCGGUAAAUCUAUAAGAGACAUCAUAGAUCGCACCAUAUCAAGUAAAGUACGAUUACGACGUUCAGACACACCAUUACGCUGUGGUGUUCCGGGUGGCGUGAGUUGCGAAACUAUUCCGCAUUGUUUCAAAUGUAAACCAAACUCGUAACUCAAAUAUUCUCCUCCACGAUCAGAUCGUAGAAACUUUAUUUUUUUUGUUACGAUGAUUUUCAACUUCACUCUGAAAUUCUUUGAACUUUUCAAAUGUUUCAGACUUAUGUUUCAUUAAGUAGAUAUACCCAUAUCUGCUUAAAUCAUCUGUGAAGGUGAGAAAAUAACGAUAUCCGCCACGAGCUUCAACAUUCAUUGGACCACAUACAUCUGUAUGUAUGAUUUCCAACAAAUCUGUUGCUCUCUCCAUAGUACCGGAGAACGGCGUUUUAGUCAUCUUGCCCAUGAGGCACAGUUCGCAAGUACCAAGUGAUUCAUAAUCAAGUGGUUCCAAAAGUCCAUCAGUAUGGAGUUUCUUCAUGCGCUUUACACCGAUAUGACCUAAACGGCAGUGCCACAAAUAAGUUGCACUAUCAUUAUCAACUCUGCAUCUUUUGGUUUGAACAUUAUGAAUAUGUGUAUCACUACUAUCGAGAUUCAUCAAAAAUAGACCACUCUUCAAGGGUGCAUGACCAUAAAAGAUAUUACUCAUAUAAAUAGAAGAACCAUUAUUCUCUGAUUUAAAUGAAUAACCGUCUCGCAUCAAACAAGAUCCAGAUAUAAUGUUCAUGCUCAAUGCUGGCACCAAAUAACAAUUAUUUAGGUCUAAUACUAAUCCCGAUGGUAGAUGUAGAGGUAGCAUGCCGACCGCGAUCAUAUCGACUUUGGAACCAUUUCCACGCGCAUCGUCACCUCGUCCUUCGCCAGUGUUCGCUUAAUCCAUAGUCCCUGUUUCGAGUUGCAAAUAUUAGCAACAGAACCAGUAUCAAAUACCCAGGUGCUACUGCGAGCUCUAGUAAGGUACACAUCAAUAACAUGUAUAUCACAUAUACCUUUGUUCACCUUGCCAUCCUUCUUAUCCGCCAAAUACUUGGGGCAGUUCCGCUUCUAGUGACCUCCAGUGACCAGUCUGCUUGCAGUAGAAGCACUCAGUUUCAGGCUUAGGUCCAGACUUGGGUUUCUUCUCCUGAGCAGCAACUUGCUUGCUGUUCUUCUUGAAGUUCCCUUUCUUCUUCCCCUUGCCCUUUUUCUUGAAAGUAGUGGUCUUGUUGACCAUCAACACUUGAUGCUCCUUCUUGAUUUCUACCUCCGCAACUUUUAGCAUUGCGAAGAGCUCGGGAAUUGUCUUAUCCAUCCCUUGCAUAUUAUAGUUCAUCAUGAAGCUCUUCUAGCUAGGUGGAAGUGAUUGGAGAAUUCUGUCAAUGACGCAAUCAUCCGGAAGAUUAACUCCCAGUUGAAUCAAGUGAUUAUUAUACCCAGACAUUUUGAGUAUAUGCUCACUGACAGAACAGUUCUCCUCCAUCUUGCAGCUAUAGAACUUAUUGGAGACUUCAUAUCUCUUAGUCCGGGAAUUUGCUUGAAAUAUUAGCUUCAACUCCUGGAACAUCUCAUAUGCUCCAUGACGUUCAAAACAUCGUUGAAGACCCAGUUCUAAGCCGUAAAGCGUGGCACAUUGAACUAUCGAGUAGUCAUCAGCUUUGCUCUGCCAGACGUUCUUAACGUCGUCAGUUGCAUCAGCAGCAGGCCUGGCACCCAGCGGUGCUUCCAGGACGUAAUUCUUCUGUGCAGCAAUGAGGAUAAUCCUCAAGUUAUGGACCCAGUCCGUAUAAUUGCUACCAUCAUCUUUCAACUUUGCUUUCUCAAGGAACGCAUUAAAAUUCAACGGAACAACAGCACGGGCCAUCUAUCUACAAUCAAACAUAAACAAGCAAGAUACUAUCAGGUACUAAGUUCAUGAUAAAUUUAAGUUCAAUUAAUCAUAUUAUUUAAGAACUCCCACUUAGAAAGACAUCCCUCUAAUCUUCUAAGUGAUCACGUGAUCCAAAUCAACUAAACCAUAACCGAUCAUCACGUAAAAUGGAGUAGUUUUCAAUGGUGAACAUCACUAUGUUGAUCAUAUCUACUAUAUGAUUCACGCUCGACCUUUCGGUCUUAGUGUUCCGAGGCCAUAUCUGCAUAUGCUAGGCUCGUCAAGUUUAACCUGAGUAUUCUGCGUGUGCAAAACUGGCUUGCACCCGUUGUAGAUGGACGUAGAGCUUAUCACACCCAAUCAUCACAUGGUGUCUGGGCACGACGAACUUUGGCAAUGGUGCAUACUCAGGGAGAACACUUUUAUCUUGAAAUUUAGUGAGAGAUCAUCUUAUAAUGCUACCGUCAAUCAAAGCAAGAUAAGAUGCAUAAAAGAUAAACAUCACAUGCAAUCAAUAUAAGUGAUAUGAUAUGGCCAUCAUCAUCUUGUGCUUGUGAUCUCCAUCUCCGAAGCAUCGUCAUGAUCACCAUCGUCACCGGCGCGACACCUUGAUCUCCAUCGUAGCAUCGUUGUCGUCUCGCCAAUCUUAUGCUUCCACGACUAUCGCUACCGCUUAGUGAUAAAGUAAAGCAUUACAGGGCGAUUGCAUUGCAUACAAUAAAGCGACAAUCAUAUGGCUCCUGCUAGUUGCCGAUAACUUGGUUACAAAAACAUGAUCAUCUCAUACAAUAAAAUUUAGCAUCAUGCCUUGACCAUAUCACAUCACAACAUGCCCUGCAAAAACGAGUUAGACGUCCUCUACUUUGUUUGUUGCAAGUUUUACGUGGCUGCUACGGGCUUAGCAAGAACCAAUCUUACCUACGCAUCAAAAACCACAACGAUAGUUUGUCAAGUUGGUGUUGUUUUAACCUUCGCAAGGACCGGGCGUAGCCACACUCGGUUCAACUAAAGUUGGAGAAACUGACACCCGCCAGCCACCUGUGUGCAAAGCACGUUGGUAGAACCAGUCUUGCGUAAGCGUACGCGUAAUGUUAGUCCGUGCCGCUUCAUCCAACAAUAACGCCGAACCAAAUGACAUGCUGGUAAGCAGUAUGACUUAUAUCGCCCACAACUCACUUGUGUUCUACUCGUGCAUAUAACAUCAACACAUAAAAGCUAGGCUCAGAUGCCACUGUUGGGGAACGUAGUAAUUUCAAAAAAAUUCCUACGCACAUGCAAGAUCAUGGUGAUGCACAACAACGAGAGGGGAGAGUGUUGUCUACGUACCCUCGUAGACCGGAAGCGGAAGCGUUAUAACAACGCGGUUGAUGUAGUCAUACGUCUUCACGGCCCGACCGAUCAAGCACCGAAACUACGGCACCUCCGAGUUUUUGCACACGUUCAGCUUGAUGACGAUCCCCGGACUCCGAUCCAGCCAAGUGUCGGGGAUGAGUUCCGUCAGCAUGACGGUGUGGUGAUGAUCUUGAUGUUCUACCAUCGCAGGGCUUCGCCUAAGCACCGCUACAAUAUUAUCAAGGAUUAUGGUGGAGGGGGGCACCGCACACGGUUAAGAGAUCAAUAAUCAAUUGUUGUGUCUCUGGGGUGCCCCCUGCCCCGUAUAUAAAGGAGUGGAGGAGGGGGCCGGCCAAGGAGGGUGGCGCGCCCAAGGGGGGGAGUCCAACUCCCACCGGGAGUAGGACUCCCCUUUUUCCUAUUAGGAGUAGGAGAGGGAAGGAAGAGGAAGGAGGGAGGAAGGAAUGGGGGGCCUUCCCAAUUUGGAUUGGGUUUGGGGGGGGCCUCCCUUGCUCCUUUCCCCUCCUUUCCACUAAGGCCCAAUAAGGCCCAUAUACCUCCCGGGGGGUUCCGAUAACCUCCUGGUGAUCCGGUAUUGUCCCAAUCUUACCCGGAACCUUUCCAGUGUCCAAAUAUGGUCGUCCAAUAUAUCGAUCUUUAUGUCUUGACCAUUUCGAGACUCCUCGUCAAGUCCGUGAUCACAUCCGGGACUCCGAACAACCUUCGGUACAUCAAAAUAUAUAAACUCAUAAUGAAAUUGUCAUUGUAACAUUAAGCGUGCGGACCCUACGGGUUCGAGAACAAUGUAGACAUGACCGAGACACGUCUCCGGUCAAUAACCAAUAGCGGAACCUGGAUGCUCAUAUUGGCUCCUACAUAUUCUACGAAGAUCUUUAUUGGUCAGACCGCAUAACAACAUACGUUGUUCCCUUUGUCAUCGUAUGUCACUUGCCCGAGAUUCGAUCGUCGGUAUCUCAAUACCUAGUUCAAUCUCGUUACCGGCAAGUCUCUUUACUCGUUCCGUAAUACAUCAUCUUGCAACAAACUUAUUAGUUGCAUUGCUUGCAAGGCUUAAGUGAUGUGUAUUACCGAGAGGGCCCAGAGAUACCUCUCCGACAAUCGGAGCGACAAAUCCUAAUCUCGAAAUACGCCAACCCAACAUGUACCUUUGGAGACACCUGUAGAGCACCUUUAUAAUCACCCAGUUACGUUGUGAUGUUUGGUAGCACACAAAGUGUUGCUCCGGUAAAUGGGGGUUGCAUAAUCUCAUAGUCAUAGGAACAUGUAUAAGUCAUGAAGAAAACAAUAGCAACAUACUAAACGAUCGGGUGCUAAGCUAAUGGAAUGGGUCAUGUCAAUCACAUCAUUCUCCUAAUUAUGUGAUCCCGUUAAUCAAAUGACAACUCAUGUCUAUGGUUAGGAAACAUAACCAUCUUCGAUUAACGAGCUAGUCAAGUAGAGACAUACUAGUGACACUUUGUUUGUCUAUGUAUUCACACAAGUAUUACGUUUCCGGUUAAUACAAUUCUAGCAUGAAUAAUAAAAAUUUAUCAUGAUAUAAGGAAAUAAAUAAUAACUUUAUUAUUGCCUCUAGGGCAUAUUUCCUUCAGGAUUUUCAAUGCAAUUCACCGCACAAUACAUAUAAAUAUUCUCUAGAUCAAAAUCAAUAACUCUAUCAAGAUUAAACUUUGGAAUACCCUCAGUUAUACGUUUCAUUUCUUCAUAACCCAAAAGAAGGCUAAGCUCUUUAUGAUGCUCAAGGGUAAUCAAAUUAUCACAAUGUUUGGACACGACUUGAUCAUGAAACAAAUAGCAUUGGAGUUUUAAAUGACCAUGUUCAUUGCAAAGUUCACAAAGGGCACGAAAAAUAUUGAAUCUAUCAGCACAUUCAUCUAGCUCUUCUUGCAACAAUUUAGUUUCUAAGUACUUAUGCCUCUUGCAAUAUCUAUCUUCCCUAUUUGGUGUGUACUUGCAAACCCAGUCUACUCCACAAAAAUUGACAUGUUUAUAGGAGGCAUUUUCAUCAUAACUAGUGCAAUCAUCAUUAGCAUCAUGGAUAUUCAAAGAAUUCAUACUAACAACAUUGCAAUCAUGCUCAUCAUUCAAAUAUUUAGUGCCAAACAUUCUAAUGCAUUCUUCUUCUAGCACUUGAGCGCAAUUAUCCUUUCCAUCAUACUCACGAAAAAUAUUAAAAAGGUGAAGCAUAUGAGACAAACUCAAUUCCAUUUUUUAUAGUUUUCUUUUAUAAACUAAACUAGUGAUAAAACAAGAAACUAAAAGACUCGAUUGCAAGAUCUAAAGAUAUACCUUCAAGCGCUAACCUCCUCGGCAACGACGCCAGAAAAGAGCUUGAUGUCUACUACACAACCUUCUUCUUGUAGAUGUUGUUGGGCCUCCAAGUGCAGAGGUUUGUAGGACAGUAGCAAAUUUCCCUCAAGUGGAUGACCUAAGGUUUAUCAAUCCGUAGGAGGCGUAGGAUGAGGAUGGUCUCUCUCAAGCAACCCUGCAACCAAAUAACAAAGAGUCUCUUGUGUCCCCAACACACCCAAUACAAUGGUAAAUUGUAUAGGUGCACUAGUUCAGCGAAGAGAUGGUGAUACAAGUGCAAUUUGGAUAGUAGAUAAUAGUUUUUUGUAAUCUGAAAUAAUAAAAACAGCAAGGUAGCAAGUGAUAAAAGUGAGCGUAAACGGUAUUGCAAUGCGUUGAAACAAGGCCUAGGGUUCAUACUUUCACUAGUGCAAGUCCUCUCAACAAUACUAACAUAAUUGGAUCAUAAAACUAUCCCUCAACAUGCAACAAAGAGUCACUCCAAAGUCACUAAUAGAGGAGAACGAACGAAGAGAUUAUGGUAGGGUACAAAACCACCUCAAAGUUAUUCUUUCCAAUCAAUCCGUUGGGCUAUUCCUAUAAGUGUCACAAACAACCCUAGAGUUCGUACUAGAAUAACACAUUAAGACACAAAUCAACCAAAACCCUAAUGCCACCUAGAUACCCCAAUGUCACCUCAAGUAUCCGUGGGUAUGAUUAUACGAUAUGCAUCACACAAUUGCAGAUUCAUCUAUUCAACCAACACAAAGGACCUCAAAGAGUGCCCCAAAGUUCUACCGGAGAAUCACGACGAAAACGUGUGCCAACCCCUAUGUAUAGGUUCAUGGGCGGAACCCGCAAGUUGAUCACCAAAACAUAUAUCAAGUGAAUAACGUGAUAUCCCAUUGUCACCACAGAUAUCCACGGCAAGACAUACAUCAAGUAUUCUCAAAUCUUUAAAGACUCAACCCGAUAAGAUUACUUCAAAGGGGAAACUCGAUUCAUUACAAGAGAGAAGAGGGGGAGGAGAAACAUAAGAUCCAACUAUAAUAGCAAAGCUCGCGAUACAUCAAGAUCGUGCCAAAUCAAGAACAUGAGAGAGAGAGAAAGAGAUCAAACACAUAGCUACUGGUACAUACCCUCAGCCCCGAGGGAGAACUACUCCCUCCUCGUCAUGGAGAGCACCAGGAUGAUGAAGAUGGCCACCGGAGAAGGAUUCCCCCUCCGGCAGGGUGCCAGAAUGGGUCUAGAUUGGUUUUCGGUGGCUACAGAGGCUUCUGGCGGCGGAACUCCCGAUCUAUUCUCCGUUCUGGAAGUUUUAGGGUACGAUGAUAUAUAUGGGUGCAGGAAGUACGUCGGAGGAGCUACGGGGGCCCCACGAGGCAGGGGGCGCGCCCUAGGGGGGGCACCCUUGUGAGCACCUCCCGUCUCUCCUGACAUGGAGUCCAAGUCUAUCCGGUGGCUUUCGUUCUGAAAAUAACUUCUCCAGUUGAUUUCGUUCCGUUUCGACUUCGUUUGAUAUUCCUUUUUCUCGAAACACUGAAAUAGGCAUAAAACAACAAAUCUGGGUUGGGCCUCCGGUUAAUAGGUUAGUCCCAAAAAUAAUAUAAAAGUGGAAAAUAAAGCCCAAUAUUGCCUAAAACAGUAGAUAAUAUAGCAUGGAGCAAUCAAAAAUUAUAGAUACGUUGGAGACGUAUCAUCGACACGUAUGAGGGGGGGGGUGUGAGGCGCCCGGUUGUAGAUGCUCUUACUGCAGUACAUGAAUGGUUGAGAUUCUCCGAUAAAGAUUUUGGAUAACUGCAUUCUCCAAUAAAGAUUUUGGACAACCACACUAUAAACAUGUUGCGGUACCAUCAGAUGUAAGAAAAUGGUAUUCUAGACGGCCAUACAAGUGAGCCAACCCGUGAUCGAACGACUAGGAGGAUAGUGGUAUUCCCAUCCCACGAGGGUUCAAGUCAUAUACUUGACGUUGUUGCUUGCAUUUUUCUGGAUUCAUUCAAGUCCUUUCGGCGAUGUGCAUUCAGUGGAAUGAUGUGUCGGCUCGGUCCCUUGGAGAUGCUCAUAAGGUACGUUGUGCAUGCAUUUAUAGAGAUGAGUGUAUAUGCGUAUAUACGAGUGUUUGCGUCUGUAUUGUGUUAAGAAAAAAGAUGAUUGUACAACGGUCAAGAAGAUCCUACCAUCCCAUUAUGGUCAGGGGUGAUAAUGUAACUCACACAUAGGUAUUAACACCUUCAUGGUCUCGCUAGUACACAAAAGCUUCACGAUUAUUAUUUGAGAUGUAGCGGGCAUGUUCAUUGCAGCUUGUUUGUGUUGUGUUUUCAUGGGCAAUUGACGCGACAUCAAUCGGAGGCAAAGAUAAUAUCUAUUGAACUAGUGGUAUUGCCAAAUAGGUCAUUAGUGACGUGGGGAUGACACGUCACUAGUAUCUUGCCACUAAUAGAUGUUCCUAGUGGCGUGCCACAUGCACACCACUCAUAACAAACACAUUAAUGACGUGUCAGGCGCAUGGCACUAGUAACUCUGUCCUUGUGAAAUCCCAGCUGGAGACCUGUUCCGGUACUCUGCCGGAGGGGGAUCCGAUCACGGAGGGCCUCUACACCAACCUUAUUGCCUUCUGAUGAUGUGUUAGUAGUGUACCAUAGAUCUACGGGUCCAUAGCUAGUAGCUAGAUGGUUCCUUCUAUCUCUUUGAUCUUCAAUACAAUGUUUUCCUCGAUGUUCUUGGAGAUCUAUUUGAUGUAAUCUUCUUUUACAGUGAGUUUGUUGAGUUCCUAUGAAUUGUGAGUUUAUGAUCAGAUAGUCUAUAAAUAUUAUUUGAGUCUUCUCUGAACUCUUUUAUGCAUGAUUAAGAUAGCUUUGUAUUUCUCCCCGAUCUAUUGAUUUGGUUUGGCCAACUAGAUUGAUUUUUCUUGCAAUGAGGGAGAUGCUUUGUAAUGGGUUCAAUCUUGCGGUGCUCAAUCCCAGUGACAGAAGGGAACAUGACACGUAUUUGUAUUAUUGUCAUUGCGGAUAGAAAGGUGGGAUUUAUUCAUAUUGAGUAAUACACUAGAUGCAUGCUGGAUAGCGGUCGAUGUGUAGAGUAAUAGUAGUAGAUGCAGGCAUGAGCCGGUCUACUUGUCACGGACGUGAUACCGAUAUUCGUAAUCAUUGUCUUGGAUAUCGUCAUAAUUAUUCACUUUUCUAUCAAUUGUUCAACAAUAAUUUGUUCACUCACCGUAUGUGUUCUUUCAAGAGAGAAGCCUCUAGUGAAAACUAUGGCCCCCGGAUCUAUUCAUAUCAUAUUAUUUGCAGAUCUAUGAAACAAAAAACCCGAAAAUACCUUGCUGCAAUUUAUUUACCUUUACUUUAUUUUGCAUUUUUAUUUAUCUUUUAUACCCAUCUCUAUCAGAUCUCAUCCUUGUAAGUAACCGUGAAGGGAUUGACAACCCCUUUUAACACGUUGGGUGCAAGUAUUUGUUUGUUUAUGCAUGUGCUAUCAUUAGAGACUUCUGUGUUCUUUCUACUGGAUUGAUAUCUUAAUUCUUAAAUGAGCGAAAUACUCAUAUCUACUUUGAUGCACACCCUUCCCUUUUGAAGGAAAAAAUCUACGCAAGCUCAGGAAGUAGCAAAUACUUCCUCUAUAAAUUAAUAUAAAAGCGUUUAGUUUACUAUUUUAGUGAUUUAAAAUCUUUUAUAUUAGUUUACGGAGGGAUAGAAAACAAUCACUUGCAAUGAUGGGACCUCUACAACAAUUUAGUACAGUUUAAGUUUGAUGAUACACCACAUGAUAAAACGCGAGUAGAGAUAGCACACAAAAGACGAGGUAACUUGUGUACCAACACAACAAAAACAGGCAGAAGGGCAAUUUGUAGUGAUACCUCGUGUAAGUGUUAUUCUAUCUACUCCAAGCUAGUUCAAGUUUUAACUUUAUUCUAAUACAAAGUUUUCUAUAUCUGAUAAUACCCACAACUCUAAACACGCGCGGUUCAUGCACAAAUAGUCACAAAACUUAUUUUGUGGUGAAUAUAAUGAAACAAAUUCGUGUUGUUGAUACUGAUAUAUUGUUCUGUAUACUAUUUUUUGGACAAACUAUUGUUCCAUAUAUUCCAUACUUGGUCAACACUUUUUUAAAUUAAAAAACCUAGAACUUUAUAAAUAAUCUAUAAAACAAAGGGAGUGCAUUUUUCUUUUCUUGAGAUGGACAAUCGAGUACAUCGUACUCCCUCUAUUCACAAAUAUAAGUCUUUUUAGAGAUUUCAAUAAAGGAUUACAAUACAUAUGAAGUAAAAUGAGUGAAUCUACUUCCUAAAAUAUGUCUAAAUACAUUUAUAUAUAGUUUUAUUUAUUGAAAUAUGUAAGAAGACUUAUAUUUAGAAACGUAGCGAGUAGACUCGUGUAAAUGCAACUUUUGCGGAAAUACAAGUAAAUAUCGAGGGGCACAUGUAUAAUAUCAUAACCUUGUGAGUACACCAACGCAUUUGCCGCGUGUCAGUGCGCGGAUAACCGAGGGACUAAAGAGACAAAUUCACGCGAACCCGGAAACCCUUCCAGCCAUCACUUCCCCUCCCUCUGCGCCGCCACUUCUCUCCCCUCCCGCUCGCGUCUCCCAGGGUUUGCCGAUCCAGCGCGCGUUAGGGUUCCCUAUUCCGGCGACCAUGGCGAACGAGCAGCCGGCGGAGACCUACACGGUGGAGGAGCUCGUGGCGGUGAACCCCUACAACCCCGACAUCCUCAACGACCUCGAGGUCUUCGUCAACGAGCAGGUAAACCCUAGCCCUGGGGCGCGCUUACCCCUGCCAGUUCCGUCCAUGUAGUUGGUCUGCGUGACUCGCGAAAGGCUCAGCCGGCAGGUUCCGUGGUUGGUUGCGCUAAUCGUUAGCGCCGUCUGGUGUCAACGAUGGAACGGUCGCGAAAUCGGUUGGUUGGUUGGUUGGCGUGCUAAACCGUGCGGCGUUGUCAGAUGGAAGCAGUUCGUAGCAAUGUGCAGGUGCUAGAAAUUUAGCAGUAUUUUCGUCUUUGCCUCUGGAUUUUAGUGUACUAAGUUGCCCGGAGUAGUAAACUUUUAUCAGUUGAUCAUCAGCGUGAAUUAAGUUACAGUGCUUACUUUGUAGUCUGGAAGGUCAUAGAGAGGGAUUGCCGAGGAAAUUGUGUUUUGCUGCCAUGGGAAUAGGCAGAUUAAAUUUGCAAUCGCUGUCUGAACUCUGAAGGGGUUGAAUACCUCCCUCUCAGCCUCAACCACGUGUUCAUACAAUGGUGGAUGGAUGGAGAGGUGGAUCUCUGCUCAAAGAUUAUGCCUAUGAUCAUGAAGUGGCAAACUUAAGCUUUUGUGCAGAUGAUACACAUACAUACACGCUUAAUCUAUUGAUUGAUACAGUGGUUGUUCAGCCUGUUAAAUCUACAGAAACAUGCUUGAAUAAACUGCUUUUAGGCUCUGUGUAUUGCGCACAAGCAUGCUAUUCUUGUGUGACACCCCAUAAGUUAUGUCAUGUUUCGAUCCUCUCAAAUUAACAAUAUAUCUCGUUUUUACUAGGUUUCUUCUAAAACAUAUAACCUGGAUGCAAAUCUCAGCCUUCUACGCCUUUACCAGGUAAAAUCGCAUUUGCAUAUGAACCAUUUCUAGCCAUAUUAUGCCUCGAUUAUAUGUAUGCAUAAAUGAUUGAUUUCCUAUUGCAGUUUGAGCCAGAAAGGUUGAGCGUACAAAUUGUAGCCCGCAUAUUGAUCAAGGUCAGAGAACAACUAAUGGUUAUAACAGUUUUUUGAAUACCACCUUUUGUUGGUUCAUUCUCAACCUCCACACAUGUUGUUUUGAUGACAGGCUCUCAUGGCAAUGCCAGCCCCUGACUUCAGCCUAUGCUUGUUCUUAAUUCCUGAACACGUGGUAUGAGAAAUUUGUCCUGCUUCCCUGCUUCUGUGUAAUCUAUCUUUUAUCGUCCCCUUUAUAUUUGUUAUUUUCUCAAGCAAAUGCUAUUAAACAUGCAUCUUAGGAGUGUCUAAAAAUUAAAGUGUCGAUUUAGAUGUGAAUGUUAAUUGAUCGUUUUGUCAUCGUCGAUGAUUGUUACUUUGGCCUUGGAGCAUGUCAUAUCUGUAUUCCUGGAGAUGCACACUAUAAUAAUUACUUGCGGAUUUCUAGUUGAUGGAAUAAGCAUAUUUUUAUUUAGUAUAAGCUCAUUUGCAGAUCAAUGGCAUAAUUUUAAGGAAUGUGCAUUUUGAUUUGAAGGAAGUAUCCCUUCUGGUCACUGAAACGUCUUAAUAUUGCACAAUACAAAUUAGUUGUACAUAUGUAUAAGAUGUGAGAUGUUUGUAUUUGUGACCUUUUAGUUGUGCAUCUUUUAAAAUAUUCUGAACUGUUCUGCUGUUACGUGGUGUUGACUUUUAUGCGCUUUACUAUAGCAAAUGGAGGAGCAGUUCAAGACGUUGAUAGUUCUGUCUCACUACCUGGAGGUACACACUUUCUCUGCAGAACUGAGUAAUCUAUGGAUGCCUAUGAACUAGCCUGUAUUGAGUAUUGACUGCUAACCUUGAUUAAUCCGCUUACAGACUGGUAGGUUCCGCCAGUUUUGGGAUGAGGCAUCAAAGAGCCGUAACAUACUGGAUGUUGUACCAGGUAUACAUCUUGAGACAUUGGAGCUUCGUUGGCAGUACUAGUGCUUGUUGGUAGGCAUUGGCAGUACGAGUGCUUGUGAAUGAAUGUUAGUUCCCACAUAGGAUUCCUGAGUUUUGAACCAUGUCCUUGUUAUCAGACUUGUGUGAUUUACACAAGUGCAGAUUUUCUGGUUUACUGUAUUUGCUAAAGAAGCUUAGUUUCUGCAGAGCCCCCCUUUUCAUUAGCCUUUUUGUUUUCAGUAUGCAUUUACAUGGCAUAUUUAUUUCAAAUAGCUGACUAGGUGUCUUAUAUUAACUUCAACAUCUCCUAUUUUUAUUUCUUUCACUUGAAAAGGCUAGAAUUUUUAAAAUCCAAACUGGAAACCGCUACAGAGUUCUUUGUCUUUUAAUUAAAAGUGAAGUGUUAAUGACAUAGCGAGUUUUUUUGGCAGGUUUUGAGCAGGCAAUCCAAAGCUAUGCGAUUCAUGUGCUUUCCUUGACAUACCAGAAAGUUCCCAGGCCAGUUCUAGCCGAGGUAAGACAUGUAUCCUUAUUAUGCUGUGUAGGCUUUCGUUAUGAGCUCAUGUCAAUUCAAGGAUUAUUAUAUUAGAUGAUAGCUGCAAGUAUUAUUUAUACCAGCCUAAGGCAUCAUCAUCAGCCAAAUAAUGCUGUUUAUCCAAUUGGGUUUACUGUCUGCAUACAUGGAUUGUUUCUUUGCUGAUGUGCCUGCCACUUAUUUUUCCAGGCCAUCAACAUUGAAGGGCUUGCAUUGGACAAGUUUAUGGAGUAUCAUGCUGCAAACUCAGGAUGGGUCAUUGAGAAGGGUGCACGCUCCCAACUGAUUGUCCUUCCGCGCAACGAGUUCAAUCACCCCGAACUCAAGAAGAACACAGCCGACACUGUUCCGUUCGAGCACGUGACUCGCAUAUUCCCCAUCCUGAGCUGAUCCAGCAACCAUGAUCAGAUUGACAUCAAGUACUUUGUCGUCUCGGCUGCACCCAGACCCACCGAGGGGGUUUAAUAGAACUUGAGCCAGUGAAGAAGCUAGUCUUGGAAAUUGUAUUCUCUCUUGUAUGGUGUACCGCAUUUUGACACACUCAGAGUAUCGGAUGCGCCUGUUUUAGCUAAAUGAGUACCAGAUUAUGUUUUCUUACGCAUUUCUGCCUAAUGUUGCAAUUGCCUGACGUUUCAUGAGUGCAUCUUUCCUGUCGAAUGUUGCAAUUGACUGAAACUUCAUGAGUGCAUUUUUUUUGCUCAUCUACUAUGUAUUUUGCUAGGGAUGCAAAGCGGCGCCCGGAUCCGUCCUGCUUCGUAUACAAAAUUAAAAUUAGUUGUAGCUUUUGUUUGAUAGAGUUAGUUUAUUUUGUACUAGCUGAUUGAUUUCGUGGGGCUAAGCGGGAUGCCAGCUUGCAUCCCUAUAUUUUGCUCCCCAGCACAAAUUUAUCUUCCACAGCAUGCUUGCUGGAAUCUAACGAAGAUAUGCAAAUGCUAUGGAUGUGUUCCCUUGUUAAUCUAUUGAUCGAACUUUUCAGUCCAAUGUAGUCGAAAAUGCUGUCACUGAAUUAUUAUAAAAAGUAUAGUAAAAGAUUAUAUUCUCACUGUCAGAUAUGCAUUUUUCGACCGUGUCACCUACAAAAAUUUGACACGUAUACUUGUCACUGACAAAAAGACUCUGAAAAUUCAUCUGGAUUUUAAAAAAAGAAUAGCCAAAAAAGGAAAUUCGUCUUUUAAGACGAAAAAAAAAGUAAAUUCGUGAGAGAAGGAGAAAGCAGGCCAUAUGUAUGGUCACCUGGGCCGGUCCAUUCACUACGGGGGCCCAAGGAGCAUUCCCAUCCCAUCUCACUACAAAAGCCGACUAGGGUUUAGAGGCGCCGCAGAUAAGAGCCCUCGCCCCCUCCCCUUCCCCCCGCUCGCGCCGCCGCUCACACCCCUCCCUCCUCCUCCUCUCCUUCGCGGCGCCACCCGGACGCUCGAGCCCCCGACAGCCAUGGCGGCAGCGGCUGGAGAGGCCCCGCGGGCGCUGUCCCAGAAGGAGCAGGACAUACAGAUGAUGCUCGCCGCCGACGUCCACCUCGGCACCAAGAACUGCGACUUCCAGAUGGAGCGCUACGCCUACAAGCGCCGCUCCGACGGUACGUCCACGCUCAAACCCCUCUUGAUCUGGCGAGCUCUCGCGUCGCUUAGGUUCAGUUGUCCUCAUGGAUCUACCUUCACCCGUGCGCCCCCGAUUUGCUGUUGGACUGUAGAACUACCUCGGCAUCAUGCGCAAAGUGGCAGCUUUGUGCUAGCUAGAGUCGAUCUGCUGCGGAUCGUGGAGCUUAUUGGUGUUGAUGCUUCUGUUCUUCUUUGAGGUGAACUGUGGAAUGUGACGCGUCUGUUCUUUGUUUGUGAUUCCUAGGCAUCUACAUCAUCAAUCUGGGCAAGACGUGGGAGAAGCUCCAGCUCGCGGCGAGGGUCAUCGUCGCCAUCGAGAACCCCCAGGACAUCAUCGUCCAGUCCGCCCGCCCCUACGGCCAGCGCGCCGUCCUCAAGUUCGCGCAGCACACCGGCGCCAACGCCAUCGCCGGGAGGCACACCCCUGGUACCUUCACCAACCAGAUGCAGACCUCCUUCAGCGAGCCCCGGCUGCUCAUCCUCACCGACCCAAGGACCGACCACCAGGUGAAUUUCUUUGCCAUGACAAACUACUCCACUAGUAGUAUAUACUAGGUGUGUGUGUUAGAUGUGGCGAUGUUCAUGAUGGAGUCAUUAAUCUCUUGGAUUAUGUGCAGCCCAUCAAGGAGUCUGCUCUGGGGAACAUCCCUACCAUUGCCUUCUGUGACACCGACUCUCCCAUGCGAUACGUCGAUAUCGGUAUCCCAGCAAACAACAAGGGGAGGAACAGCAUUGGCUGCCUCUACUGGCUCUUGGCCAGGAUGGUUCUGCAGAUGAGGGGCACCAUCCUGCCAGGGCACAAGUGGGAUGUCAUGGUAUGCCAGCUCAAUAGACCUUUCAGUUUCCUACUAGUUGAAUUGGGUAGUUGGGUUGCUUUGUGACUGUCUUGUAUUCUUUGCAUGCUUGUGAGGCUAAUGUGUUUGCCCUUUGCAGGUUGAUCUGUUCUUCUACAGGGACCCUGAGGAAGCCAAGGAGCAGGAGGAUGAAGCUGCUGGAGCCCCAGAGUAUGCUGCCAUCACUGAUUACGGAGCAGCAGCUGGUCAAUGGGGUGGUGACCAGUGGACCUCUGAUGCGCCUGCUCCCCCACCUGUUACUGGUGGCGAGUGGCCGAUGGCUGAAGGUUUGUUCUCCUUGAUUAAAAGUUCAUUUGCCUUGUAUGAAAACUCUGUAGAAUUUUGUUUGGUGAUAUGAAUUUGCCAUUUGCGUAGUACUAAUUAUUUCCUAGGUUGAUUAUGUAUCUGGUUGGUGCAAGGCAUUUUAGUUACUGAACACAAAAGUAUCAGACAUGCAAUUACUUGUGGUAGUUUACUUGGCAUUUGAUUAGUGGCAUCUUUACUCAAUAUAGCAUGUUGUUUAUAACAAGUUCAUGCCCAACAGUUUGCCCUGAUGUCUUGACUAAUGUUAGACACAUUGCAUGUUUCCAGUGUCCAUUCCAAAAUUAUAGUAGUUUAUGCUAAGGCCUAGUUGAAUAUUUUGUUGUACAACUGAAAUUGAUCACAUCUUCUUUCUUUUGUUGUCAAUUCCAGCUCCAGUUGCUGGUGGCGAUGGAUGGGAUGCAGCAGGGGCACCUGUUGCUGUGGAAGGUGCCGUCCCUGCUCCUGUUGUGGCUGCUACUGGCUGGGACGCCGCGGUGCAACCCCCUGCUCAAGGCUGGGAGUAGACUAGGAUGUCCCCUUGAGAUGUCUUUGCGGCUUAAAGUUCAUAUUUUGUGAGGCAUGAAUGGAUAUCUAGAAUCUGAUGCGAUCUGCUAUAUCUACCCUAUGGACAAAAAACCCGUGUUUUAGGAUUUUCUAGAUGAACUUGUUAUCUCUGCUAUCGACACUGUGAUGAGGGAGAGGGAGACUGAAAGUUGUGUUAUAAGUUUGGCUUUCAACUUGUCUGUCUUAAUUUUGCAGUUCUUAUACUUGAUGUUUCUAUGCAUUUUUGCUGGCUGUAUCAAUGCUUGCUGUUUGGUGUCUCAAAUCCAGCGAAGUUGCUUUGGCUGUGAACCGUUGCGCCUUUUCCUUCCUGGUAUCCCACAACUUGUGCCAAUGUGUGCACCGUGUAGAAUGCGUCACGCUAGUAAGGUUUUCUUUUGUGGCGCGUCGUUUUGAGGCUUUACAUUUCUGCAGUGGCAGUUUGUGGAUGUAGGAUUCAGAUGCCUGUUCUGAGGGUUUACAUUUCUGCAGUGGCAGUUUGUGGAUGUAGGAUUCAGAUGCCUGUUCUGAGGGUUUACAUUUCUGCAGUGGCAGUUUGUGGAUGUAGGAUUCAGAUGCCUGUUCUGAGGGUUUGACGAGGGCAUAUCCGUGGAUCAUCAUGGCCCAGUCAUCAACACACAAGCAAGGCAACAUCUCAAGCCAGAUGCCCUAAACUCCAAGAGGAAGAGGAAUAUAUGAGGAAGAAGAUGAAGAAGAACAAGAAGAAGAAUUGAAGUUCUGCUUUUUAGUCUUUGUGUUCUUAAUCAAACUCCCAAGUUCUUUGAAGAAACUUGUGCAGAAUACAUCCUAGAUGAACAAUGGUUUGACUAGGAUGCAUUUAUGUAUUUCUUCAAGGAAUUUGGGAGUAGGACUACGAAGAACCCGAAGUCUGAUAAUUACUGAAAGGCCGUCUCUUCUUCCAUCAUAGCAAAACCACUAUGUGCUAGAAAGUCUAGAAUGGAUAAUGUUUGCCCUUCGGGUUUUUGGCUCAUGGGAGUUUUUGGCUCCUAGGUGCAUAUGCACCCAUUGUCUAAAUACACAUUUUGAAAAAUUGAAAAAUUCGGAACAAAAAUCCCGCGGGUAUAUCCGGACAUUCUAUGUGCAUGCACAAAGUUUCGGUGAAAAACGACGUUUUUUGUGGCUUGUGUAAGAAAGAUAAAAAAAAUGCAAAAUGAAUAGUUGUAGUGAAGCGUAAAAAAAUGUUUUUUUACACAAGCCACAAAAAGCCUCGGUUUUCACCGAAAACUUUGUGCACGCACAUAGAAUGUCCGGAUAUACACGUGGGAUUUUUGUUCGGAAUUUUUCAACAUUCCAAAAUGUGUAUUUAGACAAUGGGUGCAUAUGCACCUUAGGAGCCGUUGCCAAUUUUCGUGAAGGCACAUCAUUAUAAGCUUAUUUGGUUUAAUUAGCUAUUUCUAAGGCAUUAAUGGAUUUCUAGGUAUUUAAUGAAGCUAAAUGACUUGAUUUUAAAAGAGGAUAAAUGAAGUCUAAAGAAAAUGAAACUUGGCAUGAUGUCGUGAUAUGACUCUGUAGAUGUAGUAAAAAAUUGAGAGGGUUACAAACAAGUUGGCGAGUAUAUCAUUAUAAAUCACUAUAAACAAAUCUUGCAUUUGAGUCCAUAAAGGGACAAAAGUUUAACUUAUGUAACAGCAGUCUGAUCCAAUCAUACAAUGCCGUAUGUUUGACAAUGAGACUUAUAAGUCAUGGUAAUUUUGCAUAGUCACUGACCUCAUGGACUUAGGGGAAAAUGCUCUUGGCGCAUGCCAUGAAUUUUUCAUUUGCAUUCUAAUGUUCAGCAUUGGAGGUUUGGACUGCUCCUUAUCUUCAUUCUGUAGCAUAACUUUGACAUCGAGGCGAGGGAAAUGUUGUAGAUCCUGCAUAAUGCAAACAUAAUAUUCACAAUAUGAUUGUCCUUUCCAUCUGGCGGUAUGAGGAAUUGAGGAUAUUACCAAUGAACUUUAUUGCAUGGAUGACAUAAACUAUCCACCGAUACAAGUUGUAAAGGUGCCCCUGGAAAAAUACAAGCUGUAGUGGAAAACCGGGGAGAAGAAAAGUGUGGACUUGCACUACAUGAAAACCCAAGGUUUCAGAAACAGUUCUGUUCCAAAUAGAAAAUGUUUAUAGCUAUAAUUUAACCAUGAAGCUAGAGACUCUAGGGUGCCAAGCAUAAAUGGCUGAGACAAACACAAAUAAUAUUUUUAAGUAAUUUUUAGUACUAGCAGAUUUAAUAUUCCCUCCGUUCAUAAAUAUAAGAUGUUUUUGCAUAUUUCAAGAUGGACCACAUACAGACUGAAAUGAGCGAACAAACACACUAACACGUGCCUAUAUACAUCCGAUUUACAAAAAAGUUAAAACAUCUUAUAUUUGUGAACCAAGGGAGUAGCACUUUUGUUCCAUGCUGCACAAGUAGUAGGCUAGAACACCAGAAUCUUAAGGUAAUUGUCAUUUCCCAAUAGUCAACUUGUUCAGAUUAGAAAAAAACGAACCACAAGGAAAAGAAGCAGGGCAAGAUGGGAAUACAUAUAUGUAACUGCUAAUCACUGGACCGAGCAUCCCAUGUCUCUCUGCUUCGGGCAUCAUAUUCACGCCCCUUGUAUCCAUGUCAUGUGUUGUACCACAUCUUAUACUCGUUCUAACUCCAUUUAUCAAUGGAAUGAAAGAAAACCUGAAUCAACAACAUUCACCUGCAUGAUCAUUUGUACUCCCUUCGUUUCUUUUUAGUCUACAUAUAAGAUUUGGUCAAAAUCAAAUUUUGUCAAUUUUGACUAAGUUUAUAGAAAAAAAAUAUCAAGAUUCACAAUAUAAAAUCAAUAUUGUUAGAUGCAUCAUGAAAUUCAUUUUCAUACCAUAUUGCUUUAGUAUUGUACAUGUUUAUACUUUCUUCAACAAAGUUGGUCAAAUUUUACAAAGUUUGACUUUGACCAAAUCUUACAUGCAGACUAAAAAUAAACGGAGGGAAUAAGAGAUGCAUACAUGUCAAUGCACUUGAAAGCCAUGCACUGUUGGCACAUACUGUACACCAAUCAUAGUCUGUGUAAUGCGUAUGCUCUGAAAGUACACUCACUAAUUGGUAAUUCUGCUCUGGAGAAGUGUUCCUGCAAGGCCAACAUAGAAAGAAGGAGGUAUUUAGCACCUCACUGUACAUCGUCAAAACAGAAAUGCUGGUAAUAAAGUAGGUAUUUUUGAAUCAUGAGUUUAGUUCCCCUUACCUGGAAGAGUAAAUUAGCCUUAACAUGUGGGUGGUGCUAGUCAACUGAAUAAGGGACCUUUUCGCACAGUGUUCGAUUCAACUUGUCCUGAAUCAGAGAUUAUUAAGAAAUAAUUGUUUCUUGUUUUUGAGGGUCUUUGUUUCUCAUCGAUGCAGAUUUCGACUGCCUAUGUGAUUUGGUGAAAAUCACCCAGACACCCAGCAAUUGUGUCAUGUUCUGUGACUGUGUGAUGUACUGAGAGCAUCUUCAACAGGCACACCAAACUAGCGUCGCGCCGCAAAAUCCCCAGUUUUAGCGCGCGCGCAAUCGGAAUAAUUGCUCGAGCGGGCGCGCAAAAACAGCGCGCGCGGCGUACGUAGUCCAGUGCGCGGGCCGAAACGCAAUCGCGCGCCGCUUAUUGCUGCGCCCUCUCCCGCGCGCUCGCUCGCACCUCCCAUCCCCAUCCAUCCAGCCGCGCCGCCGCCGCCGACCGCGCCACCCGGCGAUCGUUCCGGCGCUUCCCCGGCCUAUCCCUGCCCCGCGCGUGCUUUCUUCGGCCCCCCUCUAGUCCCGUCGCCCCGCGCGCGUGUUGGUCCUCCGACGAACAGCGCCCACGCGCUCGCUGCCGCUCGGCGCCCGCAAGGUGUUCGACAAAAUGCCUAGAAGGUAUGUAUUGCUCAAAAUUCAUGAAUUUCGUGCAUGUUGAUUGUAGUUUUUUAUUUAUAGCAUAGUAUUCAACAUUGUAGAUGAGUUCGUCGGAUGAUUCUGUUUUCGUUGUAUUGAGCGAUAAACUGUUUGUUUGAGUUGUAAUAAACGAAAUUGAACUAUUUAUUUUUGUUUGUUUUGAUCUUUUUGCUUCUGUUUUCGAAUGCAUAUGUUGUUUGUGCGAGUCGCGCGCGCUGCAUUUUAGCGCAGCUGCUGAAGCGGGCGUUGCGCGCCGCGCCAAACCAGGCGAUGGCCGCGCGCUAAAGCUGUUUUUUACACGCGCCGCGUUCGGCGCCUGUUGGAGAUGCUCUGACGUUUGAGAAGCAUAUCGUUGCUCUGUAAAACUGAAGCCUGUCGCCUGAAUAUUUCGACGAAAACAGAGCCGAGAAAAGUCCACACUACAACUGUGAACUAACCACUCGAUUUAAUAUUCAACCCUAAACUUCAAAAUCGGAAAACCUAUACCCCAAACUUGCCACACGGUUCAGGAAUCGACACUCUUCUCGUUUUUGGCUCAGUUAGUGGUAUUGAUCUUGUUGACCGCCACGUCACCUUUCGAACGAAAAAAAACCGGUCUCAGUCAAACGCCACUCUCUCUUGCUUAUCCCUGAGCGCUCUCUCAUUCUCUGUUCCCAAUUCCGCCGCCGCCGCCGCCAGAGACCACGCCGUCAGUGAUGCUUCACCCCCGACCACACACCUGCCUGCCCCUGGCCGCGCGCCUCCCACCUCCACUGGCCACGCUUGCCCGGCCCCGGCCGCAUGCCUACCCACCUCCACGGCUUCCCGCCUCUACCCGACGUCCUUCCUGUGGCAGGCAACGAUGUGUCCACCGUAUGUCCGUAUCCCUACCAAGCGACGGCGGUCAGCGGUGUCCUUCCCCCUGGCGAGCAUCGUUGUUCCCAUGGUUGAUCUUGCAUUUGGUCUCCGUUGUGAUCCCGACGUGGCGCCGUUGAUGAUGACAAGGUAGCCCACGUUGGGGCAGCCGGCCGUGACACUGACAUCCUCAACGGAGGACUUGGAGCAUCUUCGGCCGUUGCCCCCCAGGAAGCGCGUAAAAGCGUCACCUGGAGACGAACCGGCGCUAAAAUCAGCGUGGGGGCUUUCGCGUUCCAGUUGCCGGUCUCAGGGUCGUUCUCAGAAGUUUUUUUAAAAAAAUUCGGCUAAAAUUCGGCAAACGGGGCAAAGAUAUGGCUAAAAUUCGGCGAACAUGACAUUACUUAGGGGACCUACAUAGUUUUUUAUACAUAGCAAAGUGAAGUACUUUUUAAAAAGGGCCACAACUACAACUACGGGCCGAAGAACGCGCUGAGCGCGGCGAAGUCGCCGACUUCGCCGCCAUCUUCGCCGUUGUACUUGUCGUCCUUCUCCUCCUUGACGCGGCCGCCCCUGCUGGACCCCUGCCCGGCGUCGCCCUGGCGGACCGGUGGCGGCGGCGUGUCGUCGUCACCGUCGUCGAGGACGGCGAUGCCUCCCUCGUCGCGGCCACGGCGCCGAGCGGCGAACUGCUCGUAGGUGCGACACCGGCGCUCCAGCUCCGUCCGCGCCCAGUCUUCGCGCGCCCACUUCAAGGCCACCGCGUCGUCGAGCUCCUCCUUCACGCCGCCGGCGAGCCCUGGCUUCGUCUUCACGGCGGUGAGCCCUGGCUCCGUCUUAGGCUUGACGUAGCGGGAGGAGCCGAGGAGGAGGCGCGCCCGCCGCCCUCGUUGAUGACGAUGUCGGUGCUGCGGGUGCGCCGGCCGAGCGGCGUCUCCGCUGCGGGCUCGGCCUUGACGCCGAACACCGCCGACGCGUCGAAGGAGUGGGAAGAGGAACGGGAGGAGGAGCUGGAGGAGGAAGACGAGGAGGAGCCGAACCUCCUGGGCAUCCAUUACCCCGCGCUCCGGCGGGGGACCGGGGCGGCGACCGCGGCAGGGUAUGUCAACGGUGGGUCAUUCCCGCCCUCGAGGUGCCGGAGAACCUCGUGGAGCGUGCGGCCGAGGGCGCCCCACCAUAGGCGACGCCCCUCGCUGUUCUUGGUGCCCCCCGCCACCGGCGCCUCGUUGGUGGAGGCCAGCCGCUGCGCCUGCCGGUGCUGGAAGUACACCGCCCACACCUCGUGGUUGUCGACGGCGUACUGCGGGAGGGCGCGCUGCUCCUCCGUCAGCGACGCCCGCACGCGGUCGACCUUGUCGGCGAAGUAGUCGGCACGCGCGUUGAUAUCGGGCAGCGGGGGAAUGGAGACGCCACCGGCGCUGAGCCUCCAUCUGCCCGGCCCUGCGCGUAUGUCGGGAGGCAUCGGGAUGUUGGCCUCGAAGAGCAAAUACGCCUCCCACCCGUGUAGCGAACGGCGGCCGAAGCCGUUGGCCACCGCCGCAUCGUCGGGGAAUUGCUCGCCCAUCGUCGGGGCUGGGCUUGGGGAGAGAGGGGAGGAUCGUCGGCGGUGGCUGCACACGGGGAGAGAGAGGCAGAGCACGACGGGGUGUGGUCAGAGGUGAGGGGGAGGCGUUAAUUUUAUAGCCGUCCGGCGCCGUGUGUACGCGUGGCGAGAGGGAGGGCGCCGCCGCGUCGCCCGUGAGGAAUCAAUGGAAGGCUGACCGGCGACAACCUUGGCAUUGAUUCCCUGCAGGAAACUGAGGCGUUGUGAGGACGACAAGGCGAGUGUCGCUGACUCGACGGGCCCACAGUUAGUUCGCGUCAAAAUCGCUCGCCUCGGCGCCCCUGGGCGCCCCCAGUGCGCCGGGUUCUGCCUGGGUCUGCCGAUGCCAAUUUCGGCCCAAACCGGCAAAAAAGGGCCCCUGAGGACGCGAUUGGGCCGAUUUUUGGGCGCCGACGCGAAAAAAUCGCCUGAGGGGGGCGUGUUGGGGGCGCGGCUGGAGACGCUCUUAGUGCCAAACUCACUAGCGGCUAGGAAGUCCAGCAGGUACCUGGCAGCCUUGAGCAUCUUUGGUGUCCACUAGCUAUUAGAGCAUCUCCACUUGCCCCCCAACAUGCCGCAGUGCUCUUAGCGCCGACGCUGAAAAAUUGGCCUAGUUGCGCCCUCAGGACCUUGUUUAUCGCCGGUUUGGACCGAAAUAGUAGCUGGCGAACCCGAGCCGAACCCAAGCCCCCGGGGGUCACCUGGGGUGCCGAUCGAAGCAAAAAGACGCGUGGGUCUGUUGUGUCAGCGAGAGACGACACUUUUUCCCGCCGAGCCCCCAGUUUUCUCCUCCAUUUCCGUCCAUUCCCCCCUCUUCUCCCGCCAUUCUCCUCCCUCACCCCGCCACCCAGCCGCCAUCCCGCCAUGCCACCGAAGAAGUAUACGGCCCCUCGCGCCACUGCCAUUGUCGAUGCCACCUAGCUGAAGUAGAGGAAGUCGAGGGCGCCACCGGUAAAACCACCGGGCAUGUCGAACACCGACUGGAAGGCGGAGGUUCAGUGCCGGGAGGCUGUCACCACCGACCGACGGAACAGGCUCAACGCUAAGAGGGCCCGCGACAGGGCUGCGACGGCGGAACAAAAAGAGGCGUCUCGCGCGGGGAUGAUGAAUCCACCCGGCGGCCAUGGCCCGCAAGUUGCAUGGAGCAGCAAAGCGUCGGGUCACUAGCCAGCUUCUCACCGUCACCGCAGCCCUGGGGGUGCGCCCUGAUAUGUCUCCAACGUAUCUAUAAUUUUGAUUGUUCCAUGCUAUUAUAUUAUCUAUUUUGAAUAAUUAAUGGGAUUUAAUAUGCUCUUUUAUAUUAUUUUUGGGACUAACCUAUUAACCGGAGGCCCACUGCCAGUUUCUGUUUUUUUGCCUAUUUCAGUGUUUCGCAGAAAAGGAAUACCAAAUGGAAUCCAAAUGGAAUGAAACCUUCGCGAUGAUCUUUCUUGGACCGAAAGCAAACCCGGAGACUUUGAGUGGAAGUCUGGAACUUCGUGAGGCGGUCACGAGAUAGGAGGGCGCGCCCCCACCCUCAUGGGCCCCACGGAGCUCCACCGACGUACUUCUUUCGCCUAUAUAUACUCUUAUACCCUAAAAACAUUAGGGGGAGCCACGAAACCACUUUUCCACUGCCGCAACCUUCUGUACCCAUGAGAUCCCAUUUUGCGGCCUUUUCCGGCGAUCUGCCGGAGGGGGAAUUGAUCACGAAGGGCUUCUACAUCAACACCGUAGCCUCUCCGAUGAAGCGUGAGUAGUUUACCACAGACCUUCGGGUCCAUAGUUAUUAGCUAGAUGGCUUCUUCUCUCUCUUUGAUCUUCAAUACAAAGUUCUCCUCGAUGUUCUUGGAGAUCUAUUCGAUGUAAUACUCUUUUGCAGCGUGUUUGCCGGGAUCCGAUGAAUUGUGGGUUUAUGAACUUGAUUAUCUAUGAAUAUUAUUUGGUUCUUCUCUAAAUUCUUAUAUGCAUGAUUUGAUAUCUUUGCAAGUCUCUUCGAAUUAUCGGUUUAGUUUGGCCUACUAGAUUGAUCUUUCUUGCAAUGGGAGAAGUGCUUAGCUUUGGGUUUAAUCUUACGGUGUCCUUUCCCAGUGACAGUAGGGGCAACAAGACACAUAUUGUAUUGUUGCCAUCGAGGAUAAAAAGAUGGGGUUUAUAUCAUAUUGCUUGAGUUUAUCCCUCUACAUCAUGUCUUCUUCCUUAAUGCGUUACUCUGUUCUUAUGAACUUAAUACUCUAGAUGCAUGUUGGAUAGCGUCGAUGUGUGGAGUAAUAGUAGUAGAUGCAGAAUCGUUUCGAUCUACUUGACACAGACGUGAUGCCUAUAUUCAUGAUCAUUGCCUUAGAUAUCUUCAUAACUAUGCACUUUUCUAUCAAUUGCUCGGCAGUAAUUUGUUCACCCACCGUAAUACAUGCUAUCAUGAGAGAAGCCACUAGUGAAACCUAUGGCCCCUGGGUCUCUUUCUUAUUAUAUUGCAUCUUUUUUAUUAUCGCAUCUCGUUUACUAUUUUGCAAUCUUUACUUUCCAAUCUAUACAAAAGAUACCAAAAAUAUUUAUCUUAUUAUCUCUAUCAGAUCUCACUUUCGCAAGUGACCGUGAAGGGAUUGACAACCCCUUUAUCGCGUUGGUUGCGAGAUUCUUGAUUGUUUGUGCAGGUACUAGGUGACUUGUGCGUUGUCUCCUACUGGAUUAAUACCUUGAUUCUCAAAAACCGAGGGAAAUACUUACGCUACUUUGCUGCAUCACCCUUUCCUCUUCAAGGGAAAACCAACGCAUGCUCAAGAGGUAGCAAGAAGGAUUUCUGGCACCAGUGUCGGGGAGAUCUAUGCCAAGUCAAGACAUACCAAGUACCCAUCAUAAACUCUUCUCCCUCGCAUUACAUUAUUUGCCAUUUGCCUCUCAUUUUCCUCUCCCCCAUUUCACCUUUGCCGUUUUAUUCGCCCUUUUUCAUUCGUCUCUUUUCGCUUGCUUCUGGUGUGCCUGUUUGCUUUGAUGGCUCUGCCAAAAGACAUUGAUCCUCACCUUAGAAGGUUGGAAGAAAUUGAAAACAACGUUAGAAGCUUUAUGUCUUUGCAAUUUGAGCAUAAUAAUUUCUUCAGAAACGAGUUUAAAGAACAAAAAAGUUUUAUGGAGUACUUAAAUAAAGAGCUCGAUGAUAUGUCUAAAGAAUUUUAUGGUUUGAAAUCUUAGUUUGCUCAUCUUGAAAAUUUAGUGCGCCAAAUUUCGGAUAAGCAAGCCACCUUAGUUAAUAAGAUGGCCGCUAAAUCGGAAGAUCUACAUGAUAAUAAUGAUGAAGAUCUAAAAGUGAUUGAUGUGUUGUUGACACACGAACACGUCACGUGUACCCUCGAUGCCGGGGGUGAUGCACCGCAACUCACGUCGAAGGAGACCCAACCGACAGCGCGAUACGCAAGACAGUCGACGGGCGCUUUUGCAGACCCGAAAACCCCACACCCCCGGGAGGGACCCCGUCAGGGAGUGCAGCGGCGAUGGGCUGCCCUAGGUCGAUUCGCUCGCCCCUAGAGCCUCGGGAUUCACAGCUCUCAAACACGAAGAACAGCGAAGAACAAGAUAGAAAAACGGUGGAGAGAUAAAACGUAGAAGAAAAGGUAGUAUAUUGAUUUGUUCGAUUGUGUGUUGUUCAAUCGGCCGUCACCCCCAACAUAUAUAAGAGGCGGCUGGACUUCCCGUACAAGUAAAGGAUUCAUCUAGGCUUUCCUUACAAGAAAAAUUACAUCAAUUCACGUCCUAGAGUCCUAAUUUUAUUCCAACUCGGAUUCAGUCUAAAUCUGGCCCAAAGUCUGUCUUCCUUCUUGCGCGGGCCGCCGGGCUUGCAUAUGAUCUCCGAUCGAGACGGCCCAAAUAUCAAACUUAUGCGCCUCGACGAUACGAACAACUCUCAUGUUGAUCAUUUUUUCAAAUAAGGCCAUCUUGAAUACUUUUCGAGGUCAUCUUUAUCUUCUAGUCGGACUCGGUUUUGCAGUAGACUGGAUUAUCCGAGUCUCGUAGUGAAUUUGUAGGCUAUAUAUUAUCUCUGAUGAUGAUGACUCCAAAAUCAAAAUUUACCGUCUUGAUGAUACGCACAACUUCUGUAUUGAACACUUCUUCAUCCAAGGUCAUUUUGAUAAACUUUUGAGCACAUGUUCAAUUUCACUCGGACUUGAGCUCAUCCACUCGGAUAUUAGAUACUUUCACUUGGAUCGUUCGAUUGGACUUUUUCACUCGGAAGACAAUCUUUCACUCGGAUGACUAUAUUUCCACUCGGAUGACUAUAUUUCCACUCGGAAGGCACUAUCUUAUUCACUUGGAUGACUAUAUUUCCACUCGGAAGGCACUAUCUUAUUCAAUCGGCAAGUUUUCGUCCCGAUGGUAAUCUUUUCACUCGGAAUAUUUUCACCUGGACGACAAUUUCACUCGGAUGAUCAUAUUUUCACUCGGAUGACUAUAUUUCCACUUGGAUAAUAAUAAGUUCAUCCGAUCAGCAAACUUUCACUCGACCGUAAACUUUCACUCGGAUGGUAAACUUUUCACUCGGAUUUCCGACUGAAAACAUAGCCCGAUCUUGAUUUGUCUCUCCAGGCCUCAUAUGAUCUCGGAUUGAGACGAAUUAUAUAUGAAAAUCAAUCAGCUCGACGAGACAAAACUUUUCCAUGUUGAAGGUUUUUCGAUUCAAGGCCGUAUUGACGGCCGAAUUACUCGCGCAACCUAUCAGACAAGUGUCUGGCACCUCGCGCCAUAUUUCUGUUGAGGUUCAGUCUGCAGUAUAUUGCCUCUAACUUUUGCAUAUGAACUCGGAUUGAGAUGAUUUAUAUAUCAAAAUCGAUUGCCUCGAUGAGACGAAGACAAUUCCUUAAGAGUGCUCCUUCAUCCGAGGUCAUAUUGAAGACGUGAUUGGCCAAAAACCACUUGGAACAUUGAACUAUGCCACUCGGAGUAUAGUUUCGGUCCGUAAGAUAAAGUCGAAUGAAUAUAACCGAAACAUCAAAGUGGUUCCACUCGGUGACGUGAAUAUUUUUAUGCUGAAAUCUCAUUCACUCGAGACCAUCUUCAUUGCAAUCUGUAUCUUGCCAAAAUCAGGUGUCAACACAUGCCCCCCUGUUUUUCGGCAAAGCCUGCAUGCCGAAAAAUAAUAUGCAUAGUGUUUGUUUUAAGGACGAUAUCAACACUCCAUCGGCCAUUUAUUUUUCUCAGGGCGAUAAUUAUGUAUCGGCCAUGUUUGUGCUGAGGGCGAUAACCGUAUAUCGGCCAUUGCCCACUUAGGCUUCCUGCCACACACUCGGGUGGUACUUCUUCAAAUAUUUGCCAUUGAGAGCUCGAGGUAACAAUGCCCAUUGUAUUGAUUCCACGAAAUAUGAAUUUCCGGGAACAACUCUUGUAAUUCUAAAAGGACCUUCCCAACUUGGAGACCACUUCCUGAAUUUUCUAUCUCUUGAACCAAUCGGCAGAAUCACUUUCCAAACGAGGUCACCAACUUGAAAAUUCUUCAACUUGACUUUCUUAUUGUAAGCCCUUGCCACCCUCAACUUAUCUCUCUCUAUGGCUUUCAAAGCAGCCAAACGUUUAUCAGCAACCUCAUCAAUGUUGUCCAUCAUCAAGUUGUAGAAGUCUAUUGCUGAUAAAUCAUUUUGUUUGGCUAUUCUCAAAGCAUUCAAAUUUACUUCCACCGGUAAAACUGCCUCCUGACCAUAUACUAGCUCAUAUGGAGUCACUUUCGUAGCACCAUGCCUUGAGAUUCUAUGUGCCCAUAAUGCCUCAGACAACAAGUCAUGCCAUCUCCUUGGAUUAUCCUCAAUCUUCUUCUUGAUGAGCUUGAUUAAAAUUUUAUUGCUAGACUCAGCUUGUCCAUUAGCUUGGGCAUAAUAUGGAGAGGAAUUGAGCAACUUUAUGUUAUAAGAUUCGGCAAACUCUCUGACUUGGUGUGACAUGAAAGAUAAACCUUGAUCUGUAGUUAACGUUUGAGGAAUACGGAAUCUAUGAAUAAUGUGCUCGGUUAUGAAUUGAAUUACCUCCGUAUGCGUCAUGUUCUUGAGAGGUACUGCUUCAGACCAUUUAGUGAAAUAUCAGUUGCCACCAAUACGAACCGAUGCCCUUUUGAGGAAGACGGAUGGAUUUGUCCAAUGAAAUCUAAACCCCAACCUCUGAAAGGUCAUGGUUUGAUAAUAGGAUGUAACAUAGCAGCAGGAGCCAAUUGAAUAUCACCAAACUUUUGACAAGCUUCACACCCCUUAUAAUAUCUGAAGCAAUCAUUAAUCAUAGUCGGCCAAUAAAACCCAGCACGUCGCAAUAACCAUUUCAUCUUGGGAGCCGACUGGUGAGUGCCACAAAUACCUUCAUGUACUUCUCCCAUAGCAACUCUUGCCUGGUCCUCGUCCAAACACUUUAGAAGAACAUCAUCGACGGUUCGGCGAUAAAGACCAUCAUCUCUUAUUGUAUACUUGAAAGCCAUACGCCGAACAACCCUGUCCACCCUUUCACUCGGAUUGCACAAGUAAUCAACAAUGGGCUUCCUCCAGUCGGGAUUGUCACCUGCACUAGACUUUUUGUUAAUGGCCGAAUCAGUGGGUUCAGGUUCGGCCUCUCCCAUAUUGGCAAGACAAGACUUCGGUUUUUGAGAGAUAUGAAACAUGCCAUGAUCAACAUGAUAUCCGGAUGCUUGUUGUGCCAAUUCAUUUGCUUUCCAAUUGUCAUGUCUAGAUAUAUGAGCAAUGCUAAAGCAAUCCAAAGUAGAAACUAUAUCUAGACAUCUAUCAAGAUAAACAUUAAGUGAUUCGUCCAAACACUAAAAGACUUUGGAUAUUUGCUGCACCACUAGUAACGAAUCACCAUAAGCCUCAAUAUGUGUAGCACCUAUAGCAAGUAACAUCUCUAGGCCGAAUAACAAUGCUUCAUAUUCGACUUGAUUGUUUGUGCAAAAAUAUUCUAAGCGGCAUGAGGCUUCAAAAACAGCACCAUGAGGAGAUAUAUAAACAAUACCAACACCUUGGCCAUUGCUACAAACUGAACCAUCAAAGUAUAAUCUCCAUGGUACUAAUGAAACAAGGUUCAUAUCAACAUCAUGCUCGUUAUUAACCCGAUGUUCAACAAUGAAAUUAGCAACAAUUUGGCCUUUCAUGGAUUUUAGAGAUUCAUAAGCCAAAUCAUAUUCAAUCAAAGCAUAAGCCCACUUGCCAAUUCUACCACUAAGAAUUGGCCUAUGCAACAUGUAUUUAAUGACAUCGGUUUGACAAGCUACUACACAAACACUCGGCACUAAAUAAUGUCUCAAUUUUGUGCAAGCAUAAUAUAAGCAUAGACAUAAUUUCUCAAUAAAUGUAUACCUUGUCUCUGCGUCCAAUAAGCGGCGGCUCAAAUAAGUGAUGGGCAUGCUCUUUUCCUUCAGUCUCUUGAGUUAGAACAGCACCAAUAACUCCUUCCUCUGCUGCAAUGUAAAGUCUGAAGGGUUCCCUAUGCUUGGGUGCUCUCAUCACCGGAGGAGUGCACAAAUAAUUCUUGAUCAUAUCAAAUGCUUCUUGCUGUUUUGCCCCCCAAGUGAAAUCAGCAUCAUUCUUUAACCGAAGGAUAGGAGUGAAUGCAUCAACUUUCCCUGAUAAAUUAGCUAUGAACCUUCUCAAAUAAUUGACCUUGCCAAGGAACUUUUGCAUAUCUCUCUUGCAUGUUGGAGCCUCCACUUUCUGUAUAGCCUCUAUCUUUUUGGGAUCAAUCUCUAUACCAUCUUCAUGAAUAAUGAAACCCAAAAACUUGCCAGCUGACACGCCGAAAGCACACUUCAAAGGAUUCAUUUUCAGUCCAUACUUUUUCAUUCUUUCAAAAGCUAAACGCAAAUCGGCCAAGUGAGAUUCAAAAGCAUCCGAUUUGACAACAAUAUCAUCAAUAUAAACUUCAAGUAUGACACCAAGUAAAUCAUGAAAAAUCAAAUUCAUAGCCCUUUGAUAUGUGGCGCCAACAUUUUUUAAUCCGAAUGUCAUCACUGUCCACUCGAAUAAACCAAGGAAACCAGGGCAUCGAAAAGCUGUCUUGUACAUGUCCUCUUCGGCCAUAAAAAUUUGGUUGUAUCCGGCAUUACCAUCUAGAAAGCUAAUAACCUUAUGUCCAGAAGCAUCAUUAAUAAGCAUAUCGGCUAUUGGCAUAGGAUACUCAUCUUUGGGUGUAGCCCUAUUCAAAUCUCUGAAGUCAAUGCACACCCUCAACUUACCGGACCCUUUCUUCUCCACUGGGACAAUGUUAGAAAUCCACUCGGCAUACCUGCAAGGUCGAAUGAAAUUAGCAUCAAGCAGUCGACCGAUCUCUUCCUUGAUCCGGUCAUAUGUUUUCGGAUUAAAUUUUCUGGCCGACUGUUUAUAAGGUCUAAAACUGACCUUUAUAGGCAACCGAUGUUCCACUAGCUCUCGGCUUAAUCCUGGCAUCUCAUGAUAUUCCCAUGCAAAGCAACAAACAUAUUCUUUCAAUAGCUCGAUUAACUUAGCCUUACAAUCGGCUUUCAAAUUUUUGUUUAUAAAUGUCGGUCGAGUGACUGAACCAUCUCCAAUAUCUACCUCUUCUAACGGAUCGGCUGAUGUAAAACCUUGUCCAAGUUUAUCCAUGUCAUCCAACUCCUCUAUAGACUCAUACAUAUCGUUCUCAUUGGACCGAUACUUUACAAGACGGUUUUGUAACCACUCGGAAUUAGGAUCCAUUUAAACAUAUCAUACCUUGGAGCCGAUUGCAUUCACUCGGCUUUAAAGAGACGGGCACAAAACCAUUCUUGGUUGCGCUGAGAAAAUCAAAUUCUGAUAAGUCACGUCCCGUCAAGCAAGUAGCAUUGGGAUGUUGCCAAUCCACCGAUGCAUCGGCCAAAGCAACACAGGCCGAGUUAUCCGCGUGAAUAACUUCCACUUCAUCAUCAACCCACUGAAUCAAAAACUGGUGCAUAGUGGAUGGCACGCACUAGUUUGCAUGAACCCAAUCGCGGACUAGUAUGACGUUGUAGUUACCUUGCACCUCAGCGACAAAGAAUGCAGUAGCCAAAGUUUUGCUUCCGACUGUAAGCUCCACAUACAUCACACCUUUGGCUUCAGUUUUCUCUUUGCCUUCAAAUCCAUUGAGCACCAUAUUGGUCUUGAUCAAUUCUUUAUCAGGCAAACCCAAUCUCUUGAAGACCGAAUAGGGCAUAAGAUUUACCACAGCACCACCAUCAACAAGCAUUCGAGUGAGCGGCGACCCAUUGAUAUGACCUCUGAGAUAUAAUGGUUUAAGAUGCGUUACUGGUUCUUUUGGCUUCUCGAAUAUUGCGUUUUUAGGGCCAAAAUCCAGCUGAGCCACCUCCCCUUCUUCAUCUACAUCACGAAACUCAGCAGGUAAGUAGUACACCAUACUGAUUUCCAUACCUUCAUGAACCGGCAUAGACUCAUAGUCCAACAUAUCAGCCUCCUCCUCGAGUGCAUCCACCGAUUCCAAAAUUUGUCCGAGUGAAGGAUAAGUAAGAAGUGUCGCAGACGAUGUCAUAUCUGUUGCAUCGUCCUCCUUUGGUGAUGUAGGUACUGCUGUGAUAGAUGUAGAAGCUGUUGUAUCUUGUAUUUUUUUAGGCCUCCACACUUGUUUUGGUGGAACCAUGGGUCGAGUGUCAUUGAACAACUUAUCCCUUUGUUUCUCGGCCUCCUGUUCUGCCAUCUCUCGACUCCUUAACCUCUGUAGUUUCCUAUUUUGUGUCUUUGUUAGCCCUGGAGGACACCACUUUGGCUGAGUGUAUUUAGGAUCUCUCAUUUUUACUCGGCUGGUGCUUGCUUCAUGGUCAUUAGCCGAGUGCUUUGGCGCGAUAGCAAGUAUCGACUCAGUCGGAUUGCUAUGCACAAUCGGCUGCUGUAUGGCGAAUGUUUCGGUGCCCAAGAUAAGUGAGUCGACAUCCAUUUUCUCCUUGCCUUUUCCCAACUCAACUUCUGCAACACUUGGUGAUUUAACACGCCAUUCUUUUCGACUUUCCAGAUGCAUGAAAUUUCCACUCAGGCGCACCUUUUUACUCUGAUGGAAUCCACUCGGAUGAAUAUCACUCGGAUGGAAUCUACUCGGACACAUUUUUUCACUCGGAUAGCUUCCACCUGGGUGCAUUCUUACACUCGGAUAAUUUCCAUCCGGUCGCAUGUUUUGACCAGCCGACCGAUAGUUACCGAUGUUCAGUCGGCCUCUAUAUGAAUAGUCAAGUCGAUCCCAAACAAAUUGCGUAUGCUUUUCUGGAAACGACACCCUUGGUCCACUCGGUUUUAUAUACUGACUGAACAUAUCAGCUGAUGGUGACCUUGGUCGCUUCAGGUAUGAUGGCCGGUUAGAGCUGGGACCAGCCGACUGAUCAGCAUAUUUGGAUAGCAACAUAUCAAAAGUUGGCUUGAUCCGCUUGCGUUGCACUUUAGCUUCAUUCCUCUUCCACUUGCCAACUUCUGGACUCUUGGGUUUGACAAAUUUAACUCGCGCAUUUUCUUGCACUUGCAGUUUCCCCCCGAGUGUAGGAUUCUUCAUGGUGAUUUUGAUUACUUCCUUGCAAUCGGGUUGCUUACCAAGCACAACCUGUCUCCCCAAGACCUUGUUGUCCUCCUUGUCUUUCCUGGGCUCACCAACAAUGACAUUAGCUUUAUUAGAAGAUUCGGCUACCUCCGGCCGAAUGAGUAGCUUCUUGCCCUCCAAAUCCAUGGUAUUCAUUGGAAAAGGCUGUUUAUCAACUUGCAUCUCAGAAAAGUUCAAUCGUCCAUCAUUAAUGGCCGAUUGUAUCUGUCAUCGAAAAAGAUUGCAAUAAUUAGUAGCAUGAGAAAAAGAAUUAUGAUACUUGCAAUAAGCACACCGUUUUAGCUCUUCAAACGGCGAUAAAGUAUGAGAUAUUCUAAUAAUCUUAGCCUGCAGCAAAGCAUCAAAUAUUCUAUCACACUUAGCAAUGUUAAAAGUAAACUUCAUCUCUUCAUCACGAUUCUUAUGAAUCGGUUUCAGAUCAUUGCAAGUAAAGGGUUUGGCCUUAGAUGGCCAAACAAAUUCAGUAGCAAAAACAUCACCCUCAUCGUCCGAGUGAUCACUAUCAUAUUCCACCAUAUUCAUCUUUGGACGAUCGGCUUUGUAUCUAUGCACUUCUUUGAGAUCUUUGCUUCGGCUUUCCUGAGCCAAAGCCCUUUGUAAGACUUGGUUGAUAUUUAAGAACUCAUAACCUUCCAGCUUUUCUCUAAUGGGAGUUCUCAAACCACUCAGCACUAGGUCUGCCAAGUCUCUCUCGGUUAUCACCAAACUAAAACACCGGUUUUUUGUUUCUCUGAAUCUCUUGACGUAAUCGGAGACCGAUUCAUCAUGCUUCUGUUUAACCGAUGUUAGAUGUGAUAACUUGAGUUCAUUGUCACCGCUAUAAAAGUGAUCAUGAAAUUUCUGCUCUAGCUGCGACCAAACCCGAAUGGAACCAUGUGGUAAAGAAGAAAACCAUGAAAAUGCAGUACCAGUUAAAGAUAAAUGAAACAAACGCACUUUCAACUCAUUUAGUGAGCCUGCUUCACCUAGUUGUGCUAAGUAUUGACUAACAUGCUCCCAUGUGGUUUUUGUGCCCUCUCCAUUGAACUUAACAAAAUCUGGAAUCUUAUAUCCCGGAGGGCACUGGAUGGCAUCAAAGUACUCGGGGUAUGGCUUUUCGUAAAUCCGAUUCCGAGGUAACUCAACUCCAAAUUUUCUCGAAGCAUCUUAGCCAUCUCCUCUCUAAGAUUAGCUAGACCAUCAUCCAUAGUGGACGAUGCAGCUUGUGGCAGUGGCAUAGAAGGAGUAGGGUUGCUAGUUGUGGGUAGGAAUUGUGGCAUGUAUGUCGACCCAUAAUUUGGUAGUGGUCGAGUGGUUGUAGCUGUAGGUAGAGUUUGGUUCGGCGUUGCCACCGAACCUGUCAUGCUCAUAAUAGGAUUAAUGGGUGUAGCCACAAUCUGAUUUGUUUGGGUAGGAUAAUAAGUCAUCGACACGGGAGGCGCCGAUGCAAUAGGUAAAGCCAGAUUAGGGUUUUGCACACUAGCAGCUACACCAUUAUUACCACUAAACGAUUGAGAUAUAUUCUUCUGAGCAUUAGUAUUUUCUAUAAAAGUUUGAUAGACUAGAUUGUUACCAUCAGCAAUACGACUUUCAAUCUCAGCCCACUGCUCAGGAGAAAAGGCAGUACUUACAGAGGGUUUAACCUGCUCGGCUUGAAGAGGAGGGAACUUGAUUUCUUCAAUCAGAGUGAUGUUGCCUUGGCGAUCCUUCUUGAACUUUGCAAGAAACUCCUGCAAGUCCUUCUCCUCGCGCGCCUUCUUGUACUCCUCAUAGACUUGGCGAUGAUCGGCCGAUAUCUCAUCAAGACUAGGCUUAAUGAUGUUAUCGGCAUCUACCUCAGAUGGCUUGGGAAGAUCCGACAUGGUGGAUGAUGACGAUUGAUCUUCGGUCCCCAGCGGAGUCGCCAAAAAGUGUGUUGACACACGAACACGUCACGUGUACCCUCGACGCCGGGGGUGAUGCACCGCAGCUCACGUCGAAGGAGACCCAACCGACAGCGCGAUACGCAAGACAGUCGAUGGGCGCUUUUGCAGACCCGAAAACCCCACACCCCCGGGAGGGACCCCGUUAGGGAGUGCGGCGGCUAUGGGCUGCCCUAGGUCGAUUCGCUCGCCCCUAGAGCCUCGGGAUUCGCAGCUCUCAAACACGAAGAACAGCGAAGAACAAGAUAGAAAAACGGUGGAGAGAUAAAACGUAGAAGAAAAAGUAGUAUAUUGAUUUGUUCGAUUGUGUGUUGUUCAAUCGGCCGUCACCCCCAACAUAUAUAAGAGGCGUCUGGACUUCCCGUACAAGUAAAGGAUUCAUCUAGGCUUUCCUUACAAGAAAAAUUACAUCAAUUCACGUCCUAGAGUCCUAAUUUUAUUCCAACUUGGAUUCAGUCUGAAUCUGGCCGAAAGUCUGUCUUCCUUCUUGCGCGGGCCGCCGGGCUUGCAUAUGAUCUCCGAUCGAGAUGGCCCAAAUAACAAACUUGUGCGCCUCGACGAUACGAACAACUCUCAUGUUGAUCAUUUUUUCAAAUAAGGCCAUCUUGAAUACUUUUCGAGGUCAGCUUUAUCUUCUAGUCGGACUCGGUUUUGCAGUAGACUGGAUUAUCCGAGUCUCGUAGUGAAUUUGUAGGCUAUAUAUUAUCUCUGAUGAUGAUGACUCCAAAAUCAAAAUUUACCGUCUUGAUGAUAUGCACAACUUCUGUAUUGAACACUUCUUCAUCCAAGGUCAUUUUGAUAAACUUUUGAGCACAUGUUUAAUUUCACUCGGACUUGAGCUCAUCCACUCGGAUAUUAGAUACUUUCACUCGGAUCGUCCGAUUGGACUUUUUCACUCGGAAGACAAUCUUUCAUUCGGAUGACUAUAUUUCCACUCGGAUGACUAUAUUUCCACUCGGAAGGCACUAUCUUAUUCACUCGGAUGACUAUAUUUCCACUCGGAAGGCACUAUCUUAUGCAAUCGACAAGUUUUCGUCCCGAUGGUAAUCUUUUCACUCGGAAUAUUUUCACCUGGACGACAAUUUCACUCGGAUGAUCAUAUUUUCACUCGGAUGACUAUAUUUCCACUUGGAUAAUAAUAAGUUCAUCCAGUCAGCAAACUUCCACUCGACCGUAAAAUUUCACUCGACCGUAAACUUUCACUCGAUCGUAAACUUUCACUCGGAUGGUAAACUUUUCACUCGGAUUUUCGACUGAAAACAUAGCCCGAUCUUGAUUUGUCUCUCCAGGCCUCAUAUGAUCUCGGAUUGAGACGAAUUAUAUAUGAAAAUCGAUCAGAUCGACGAGACAAAACUUUUCCAUGUUGAAGGUUUUUCGAUUCAAGGCCGUAUUGAUGGCCGAAUUACUUGCACAACCUAUCAGACAAGUGUCUGGCACCUCGCGCCAUAUUUCCGUUGAGGUUCAGUCUGCAGUAUAUUGCCUCUAACUUUUGCAUAUGAACUCGGAUUGAGAUGAUUUAUAUAUCAAAAUCGAUUGCCUCGACGAGACGAAGACAAUUCCUUAAGAGUGCUUCUUCAUCCGAGGUCAUCUUGAAGACUUGAUUGGCCAAAAACCACUCGGAAUAUUGAACUAUGCCACUCGGAGUAUAGUUUCGGUCCGUAAGAUAAAGUCGAAUGAAUAUAACCGAAACAUCAAAGUGGUUCCACUCGGUGACGUGAAUAUUUUUAUGCUGAAAACUCAUUCACUCAAGACCAUCUUCAUUGCAAUCUGUAUCUUGCCAAAAUCAGGUGUCAACAUGUGUCUCCUAUUAAAUCUUUGUUUUCCAAUAUGAAUCUUGAUAAAGAUGGGACUAGAGAUGAGUCAACUUUAAUUAAAAGGCGUCCCAAUGAUUCUGAGUUUUUAGAUCUUGAUGCAAAAAUUAAUAAAAGUGGGAUUGAAGAGGUCAAAACUUUACAUAGCAAUGAACCCACUAUUUUGGAUUUCAAGGAAUUUAAUUAUGAUAAUUGCUCUUUGAUAGAUUGUGUUUCCUUGUUGCAAUCUGUGUUAAAUUCUCCUCAUGCUUAUGAUCAAAAUAAAGCUUUUACUGAACAUAUCGUUGAUGCUUUAAUGCAAUCCUAUGAAGAAAGGCUUGAACUAGAAGUUUCUAUCCCUAGAAAACUUUAUGAUGAGUGGGAAACUACUAUUAAAAUAAAGAUUAAAGAUUAUGAAUGCUAUGCUUUGUGUGAUUUGGGUGCUAGUGUUUGCACGAUUCUAAAAACUUUGUAUGAUGUGCUAGGUUUCCGUGAAUUUGAUGAUUGUUCUUUAAAUUUGCAUCUUGCGGAUUCCACCAUUAAGAAACCUAUGGGAAGAAUAAUGAUGUUCUUAUUGUUGCAAAUAGGAAUUAUGUGCCAGUAGAUUUCAUUGUUCUUGAUAUAGAUUUCAAUCCUACAUGUCCUAUUAUUCUUGGUAGACCUUUCUUAGAACGAUUGGUGCAAUUAUUGACAUGAAAGAAGGAAAUAUUAGAUUCCAAUUUCCGUUAAGGAAAGGCAUGGAAAACUUUCCUAGGAAGAAAAUUAAAUUACCUUAUGAAUCUAUUAUGAGAGCCACUUAUGGAUUGCAUACCAAAGAUGACAAUACCUAGAUCUAUUCUUGCUUUUAUGCCUAGCUAGAGGCGUUGAACGAUAGCGCUUGUUGGGAGGCAACCCAAUUUUAUUUUUGUUCUUUACUUUUUGUUCCUGUUUAGUAAUAAAUAAUUUAUCUAGCCUCUGUCAUGAUUGUGUUUUUAUGUUUUAAUUAGUGUUUGUGCCAAGUAAAGCCUUUAUGAUCUUCUUGGGUGAUUGUUGUUUGAUCUUGCUGAUAAAAACAGAAAGUAUGCGCUCACGAAAAUAAUUUUCAUUUUUUACCAGAGACGCCAUAAAAUACCAAUUCCAACUGCAGUAGAUCAAUAUACAAAUUUUCCUGGUCGUCCUAAUUUUUCAGAAUUUUUGGAGUUACAGAAGUAUUCGGAACCUACAGAAUGCUACAGACUAUUCUGUUUUUGACAGAUUCUAUUUUUCGUGUGUUGUUUGCUUAUUUUGAUGAAUCUAUGGCCAGUAUCGGGGGGUUUGAGCCAUAGAGAAGUUGGAAUAUAGUAGGUUUAACACCAAUAUGAAUAAAGAAUGAGUUAAUUACAGUACCUUAAGGUGGUGGUUUAUUUUCUUAUACUAACGGAGCUCAUGAGAUUUUAGUUUUGUGUUGUGAAGUUUUCAAGUUUUUUGGGUAAAGAUUUGAUGGAUUUUGGAAUAAGGAGUGGCAAGAGACUAAGUUUGGGGAUGCCCAAGGCACCCCAAGGUAAAAUUCAAGGACAACCAAAAGCCUAAGCUUUGGGAUGCCCCGGAAGGCAUCCCCUCUUUCGUCUUCGUCUAUCGGUAACUUUACUUGAGGCUAUAUUUUUAUUCACCACAUGAUAUGUGUUUUGCUUGGAGCGUCUUGCAUGAUUUGACUCUUUGCUUUUUAGUUUACCACAAUCAUCCUUGCUGUACAUACCUUUCGGGAGAUACACACAUGAAUCGAAAUUUAUUAGAAUACUUAUGUGCUUCACUUAUAUCUUUUGAGCUAUACAGUUUUGCUCUACUGUUUCACUUAUAUCUUUUUAGAGCAUGGUGGUGGUUUUAUUUUAUAGAAAUUAUUGAUCUCUCAUGCUUCACUUAUAUUAUUUUGAGAGUCUUUUAGAACAGCAUGGUACUUUGCUUUGGUUAUAAAAUUAGUCUUAAUAUAAUGAGCAUCCAAGAUGGGUAUAAUAAAAACUUUCACAUAAAGUGCAUUAAAUAGUAGGAAAAGUUUGAUACUUGAUGAUGUUUUGAAACAUGAGGAUGGUGAUAUUAGAGUCAUGCUAGUUGAGUAAUUGUGAAUUUGAGAAAUACUUGUGUUGAGGUUUGCAAGUCACGUAUCAUGCACGUAUGGUAACCGUUGUGCAACAAAUUUGAAGCAUGAGGUAUUUCUUUGAUUGUCUACCUUAUGAGUGGCGGUCGGGGACGAGCGAUGGUCUUUUCAUACCAAUCUAUCCCCCCAGGAGCAUGCACAUAGUACUUUGUUUCGAUAACUAAUAAAUUUUUGCAAUAAGUAUGUGAGUUCUUUAUGACUAAUGUUGAGUCCAUGGAUUAUACGCACUCUCACCCUUCCACCAUUGCUAGCCUCUCUAGUACCGUGCAACUUUUGCCGGUACCUGAAAACCACCAUAUACCUUCCUCAAAACAGCCACCAUACUGUCGGUGUACUAGAGUAGGGGUACCCUAGUAUCCCGAACUUGUGCACGGGCAGUCGCAGCAUCCCGCGGCAAGGCUUGCCGGGUGACCGCCAAGGUCCUCCGUGCUUCCUUUGAAGCCAUUCAAGGACAAAGUAUCCAAGCCAAGGAGACAAGACCCCGGCAAGAGGAGCUUGCCGGGAAGGCCAACCAAGGCAUCUCAAGGAACUUGCCACGACGCGCCACGCGUCCCGGCAAGGCCUGGUGAGCGACAAGCUCCCGGACGCGACAAGACAACGACCGCGGUAAGGCGCUUGCCGUGGCAAGCCACCACUCUGUGCCCGCGCUCCAGCACAUCCACCAACGUGUCGCUCUGGGACCCUUCCAGGCGUACGUGGCUGGAGACUGUGCAGCCAGCGGUGCGCGGUGGCAAGCGGCGCUGACAAGAUUGCCAUCGUGGCGAGCGGUGGCGUCCCUGACGGUCCCUUUUGCACUAUUUAGGCGACGCAGAUGGGCAUUUAAUGCCCUGGUCCCCUGCCAUCAGGGUUAGGUAUGAUACACUGUAGCAGGUAGCUGUACCAACCGCAACACCUUUCCAUUUUUACCCUUGUCUACGUUGCCACCUGUCGGUGACCCCUUGAGCAUAUAAAAGGAGGCCCAUGCGCAACGUAGAGAAAGGGAGGAAGAGAACACACUCACGCUCAGUCUCGUUAGCUGCUGGGGUGUACUGUAGCACUCCGCGCUCCCGAGCAAGAACUCAAUACAAACCACAAAGCAGGAGUAGGGUUUUACGCAUCCGUGCGGCCCGAACCUGGGUAAACUACUCGUGUGCUUCGCCUCGAUCCGCUCUUCGUGCGACCCUCACCCCCGCCGAACUGAAAGGGACUCGGUCCGUCGGUCCCAUAGGUGCUCGUGGAUUAGUCCCCCGACAUCAUUGGCGCGCCAGGUAGGGGGGUCGAGGUUGUGUGAACCAGAUCCGGCGUUCACACGAGCUAGAUCUUCAUCAUCUUCAUCGACAUGCCGCCGAAGAAGAAGGCUUCGGAGGCGGCUGCUCCGUCCGCACCGAACCCACCACCGCCGGAGUAAACGGCUGAUGGGGCAGCCGCUGGCGGAAGAAGGGUGUCGACGAGGGAGCUCACAGUGCUGCUAGGUCCAAGGACAAGGCUGCGCUGCCCAUCGGCGGUGUAACCGGCUCCCACAACGACCGGGCGCACUCCAAGACCUCGGCGUCCGUACAUGCACCGCGCCCAUCUCAGGAGGCGCGGGACCGGUAGUGUCAUGGUACUCACGGUACCAUGCGUUUGCUGGACCAAGAUCGAGCUGGUGGAUCUCGGAGUGCUCAAGACCAGCAUGCACGCCAACAUGCUGGCACGAGCGAGGCACGGUCGCCUGGACGGGAUACUGCUCCUUCUAACAUAGUUAGAAGUCCGAGCGUAUCCCGCUCCUCGCACCGUUCGCCACCGCCACCCGCCACUACAGCAGAAGCUUUGACACGAGCUCAACUGCUCCUGGACUACCCUCCAACGGCAGACAAGAUCGACGACUGGAGGGCCACCAUUUAGAGUCUCAUCGGCUUCGCCAACAGCGACACUCAACGGCAGCCGAGUACGUCGCAGCCGCGGCAAGUCAGCCAUGCACGAGCCCGUGGCGACAAGAACGGUGGGGGUGCAACCACUGCGCACUCUCUGCCUCGAAGGCCAAGAUCGCCGACUCGCCGGAUCCACCUCGACAGCGACUCCACUGCGUCAUCAGAUCCACGAGCUCGUCGCGAUCAGCGCCAAGUUCUUCACGAACGACAGCAAGAAGAGGAAGUUGAUUUCUGGUGACUAUUUUCUGGCAGAGCUUCUCGAAGCCGCCGCCAAGAAGGUCCCCAAGAUCAACGCCAAGAGCGCUGAGGAGCAGUCUGCUCCGGCAAGCCCUAGGGUUUGUUCCGUUGAAGCAGAAGCUCCCGACAAGUUUUGCUCCGGCAAGCUUGCCGGGGAACGUCAAGCUCCGGCAGAGCCGUAGGUUCUCGCCGUAGAAGCGGAUGUUCCUGCAGCAGCAGAUUUGCCUUUAGUCCUUGUUGUCGAGCCACAAGCUCCAGCAUGGACACAGCAGAUUGUCCGUUUCCUUCAGACAGGAGAACUUCCCGAAGAGCAAGAAGAAGCGGAAAGAGUAGCCCGGCAGUCAAGUAUGUACCAGUUUGUCGACAACACACUGUACAGAAGAAGACUCAACGGUGUGAAAUUGAAGUGUAUUCACCGGGAAGACGGACAAAAGCUAUUGGCAGAGAUACAUGGAGGCAUAUGUGGUCACCACAUUGGCGCAAGAGCACUUGCCGGCAAAGCAUUCCGGCAAGGUUUCUUUUGGCCGACAGCCCUCCAGGAUGCAACUGCACAAGUAACCAAGUGUGAAGCGUGCCAGUUCCAUUCCAAGCAGAUACACCAACCAGCUCAAGCUCUCCAGACGAUCCCUUUAUCCUGGCCAUUUUCGGUCUGGGGGCUCGACAUCCUCGGCCCCUUUCCCCGAGCAGUCGGGGGCUUUGAGUACUUGUACGUUGCAAUCGACAAGUUCACAAAGUGGCCGGAAGUGGAAGCAGUGAGGAAGGUGAUAGCACAGUCAGCAGUCAAGUUCUUCAGGUCGAUUGUUUGCCGUUUCGGGAUCCCUAACAGGAUAAUCACCGACAACGGUACGCAAUUCACGAGCCGCACCUUCAUGCAGUACGGCCAAGAUCUUGGCGCCAAGGUCUGCUUUGCUUCUGUUGCUCACCCGAGAAGCAACGGUCAAGCGGAGAGGGCAAAUGCUGAAGUGCUGCGUGGGCUCAAGACCAGGACUUUCGAUAGGCUACACAAGUGCGGAAGAAACUGGAUCGAGGAGCUGCCGGUGGUUCUUUGGUCGAUCAGGACGACGCCAAAUCGAGCCACUGGCCAGACACCUUUCGCUCUAGCCUAUGGAGCAGAGGCAGUUCUCCCCAUGGAACUCGUAUACGGGUCACCUCGAGUGCUCGCUUAUGAUGAGCUUGAGCAAGAGCAGCUGCGACAAGAUGACGCGCUACUCCUUGAGGAAGACCGUCUUCAGGCUGCUGUAUGAGCUGCUCGCUACCAGCAAGCUUUGCGCCGCUACCAUAGCCGCAAAGUUAAUGCCAGAAGUCUCGAGGAAGGCGACCUUGUUCUUCGGCGUGUUUAGUCCGCCAAGAAUUCCAACAAGUUGACGCCGAAGUGGGAAGGCCCUUACCGGGUGAAACGAGUCACUAGGCCUGGCGUUGUCCGCCUUGAGACUGAAGAUAGCAUUCCGGUGAGCAAUUCCUGGAACAUUGAGCAUCUUCGUAAGUUUUACCCGUAAGGCGCGGUUGCCGGAACCUGUUCCGGCAACCACCUUUUGUACAAGUCUUGCCGCUGUUGCAUGUAAUCCUUUGUACAAAGCCGGGCGCAGACCCCGUGCAUAAGUAAAGCACAUAUGCUUCGCACAUCUCGUCAAUUUCAUGCUUUCUAUUUUUUGCAUAUGUGAUCUGACACUUUGUGCAGCACCUACUCCCCGGUAAGCAAUAACGAGCCGUAAGGCUCCAUAUCUUUAUUUUCUCCUCUUUCUUUUUUCUCAAGGAAAGGAAGGUUCCCUCGCCCACAAGUUUGCCGGGGGGGAAAGGAGAAGAUAAUGGUAUGGACCAGGCGUCGUUCAAGAAAGUUUCGCCUUACCGGGAAGCAAACAACAGAAAAGCUAAGUUGCCAAAGUUUGAGCAAUCAGAUUUUAAAUUUUUUUAAGUUAUCUCCCUUGAACGACCGCACUUUGUAUGGAAAACCUGUGAGCAGAGGAACCAACUCGUAGCUAGUUGCGCCCUUACUUUGUUUCGAGUCCGCUCAACAACUUAAGUGAGUUGCGACUAGUUGCGACAAGGUUUCUUGUCGGUAGCGGCACCGCCAGCAGGCUGCUGACGUCCUGCACUUAGCGCUCGCGGCUAAGGUGCCUGCACCGGCAAGUUCCCUAAAAGCAUAGGGCAAAAACAUACAAAGGGAGGAAUCAAGUAAAGGGAAUAACAUUGCAAUCAUCACCCGGAGUAGAGUUAUAUUACAAGGUAGCUUGUCGCGGCUCUAACAGAUUGUUCUCAUAACAUGACCAGUAGCGACAAGGAAAGAAGAAAACAGGCAGCCUAGUCUACGCGAUCGCCCUCAAUCCUGUUGAUCCCGCUCACCUUGUCCACAAUGGGUGCGACAAGGGUCUUGAGCGCCUCCAGAUCAGCAUCCGGCGGCAGGGUCUUGAGGACGUUGGUGAGGUUGAGGCCCGGGUUGCGGAAGGCCACCUUCACCAACACCUUUUGAAGAGCUCCCGCGUAGAUCUUGCGCGACUCGUCGGCCAGCUACUUUGGGAUCUUCUCCCGGAGCCGCUGGAGGGCCGUCGCCACACCUUUGAAGAACAAGGUGAGCUUGGCGCUGGGUUGGAGGUUCUCAUCAGAGGGAUACCCGAGAUCCUCCACCCCCAGCUGCGCCAGCUCCCUGACGAUAUCUGCGGCAGCAUUCACGAGACCCUCCAUCCAGUGCUCCACAUUCUCCCUAAAAGCAUUCUGGGCGGCGGCAACACUCGCCAGCAGCGCCUUGUCGGCCUUGAUCUCCUCCUUCAAGGCCACCUCCUGCUCCCUGCCGCCGUCCAGUGUCUUGGUCAAAGUGGUCAGCUUCAACUCAAGAUCUGCGUUGGAGUCCUUGGCAGUGCUAAGCUCUUUGCCCUUCUCGGUGAGGCGAACUUGCAGCUCUGAGUUGCUAUGGGCGUCCUUCUCCCGCUCACGCUUGAGCGCGGCAAGAUCUUCACCACUCGCCUUGAGAUCGGCCUCCAGCUGCGCCACCUUCGUCUCCAGCUCCUUCUUGGCGGCCUCGGCAACUGCGGCAGCAUCCUCUGCUUGCUUAAGGGCUCCACCGAGUUUUUGCUCACGCGCGGCAAGCUCCUCCCCGUGGCUGUCGAGGUUAACUUUCCGCUGCACCAGCUCGCCCUCCUGCGCAGACAGCUUCUCAGCGGCAAGCCGCUGUUGCUCUUCAACUUCGGCCUUCUCGAGGAAGAAAGCCUUCUGCUCUUCGGCGAGUUGCUCCCGCUCCUCUGCCAGGGACCGGAGAGCUUCCUGGUUGAGACCCCGGAGCUCCUCCGCGCGCUUCUCGAUGUCCGCUCCCGCCUUCGCGACAAGCGCCUCACGGGAUUCCAGCUUGGCUUGCCGCGUGCGGUAGAGCGACAACAGCUUCCGCAGCAGCCGCUCCUCCUCAGGCUCGCCGCUGCUGCUGCUCGGCGCAUCAACUAGCGUCAGCCCAGCAGAGGCGAGCACCUCUCCAUCAAAGCUCUCUCCCUCGACCGGCGCCCUGGAGCUUGACGCCCAGGGGAGGUUGAUGAAGACGCCAUCGCCGGCCUUCAAGUAGACGCCUGGCUGGGGCUCUUCGGAGCUUGGCGCUGCGGCAGCGGCAGAUGGGUCGGCGGUCGACGAAGCGCCUGGUGCUCCUGCGGCCUCAGGGCCGUCGGUGCGAUCGCCAGACCCCUCGCCAGCUGCUGUGGCGGCAGCUUUGGCGGCCUCGUCAUCGGCGGGGUCAUCAGCGCCGGCUGCUUCUUCAGUGGCAGCGGCGUCGUCGACAACAACCUCGGUCUCCAUCGGCUCCACAGCAGAUGGGUCUGAUGGCCGGAAAAGUGAGAAAAGUCAAGCAAAUACCCAAAAAGAAGAAGAACCCAAGGGAAGCUUUGAAGAGAAGAUUACCUGUACUGGGUUCGGCAGUCGUAGUCUCCGCCGCCAGGGGGACGCCGGUGCUGUCCCUUGCCGGAGAACACUCCCUUGCCGGAGGACUCUCCCUUGGCAUUUCGGGGGCGGCCUCCGGGUGCUCCUGGUGAGGCUGCUCUGCUCCUACACAAACCAACAGUCAGAUGUCAGCAAAGAAAGAGUAUCCAUGCGCGCCUAACAGCGGAAAGCGAACCAUAUACUUACGCUGGGGGCUGCUCUGGAGAACAGUUGCCGGGUCUGGCAAGGUUGUCUCGGACGCACCCCCUGCUGUCGCGGUGGGUUCGUCCUCGAUGACAAUCACCGGGACCUUGGCUCUCUUUGCUGCUCUCUGGGCCAGAGUCCUAAAAAGGAAUAAGUUCAGAGUAAAGCAAAUGAGAUACAAGACAAAACAGCAAGAAUUGAAGAACUACAAGUACAACAAGAGAAUCUUACUCUUCUUAUUCCUCGUCGGAGCUGAACGCGGAGAAGUCGAAGUCCAACUCACGUCCGACGCGAGGAGGCGGAGGAGUAGUUUCCCUUGGCCGCUUGGCGGGAACAGUGGCGGUGGUCUGAGACGACCCCGCUCCGGUUGCCGCCGCGGCAUGAGAAGCGGCAGGAGUAGAAGCGGUGGUCCGAGUGGACCCCGCUCCAGUUGCCGCAGCAGCGUGAGGUGCUCCCGCGGCAACAGUGCUUGCCGCAGUGGAGCGUGUCGCACGGCGCGGCGACUGUUGACUCGCCUGCCGCCCCGCUACGUCCCCGGCCUUGCGGAGACACCUUCUUGGUGGGGAUGGAGGCUCUUCUUGCGGCGAGCUGCCUGAAGAUGAGGAGGAAGAGGAGUUGAUCUCCAGCGAGCCGCUCGUAUCCUUGGCGGGCUCGCUCGACUCAACGUCAUGACCGGCAAGCUCUUUCUCGCCGAUGAGCUCCUCUCGCUUGGCACGGCUUGCCGCCUCUGUUGCCUCUGCCUCCUCCACGGUGAAUCCAAAUUCGCCCGCGGCUGCAGCUGCCGCCGCCUCUUCCAGCCUAGUGGCGAUACGUGUCAUCUCCGCGUCAGUGGUGUCGCGGGUGAUGCCAUUCUUUUCAUCGGAGCGGACCAACACUUCUACCAAGCCGUCAAAUAACUCCUGCACGACGUCGUCUGCAGGCUCUUGCCAAGUUGGGACAAUUCCAUGCGAAUUGCACAUCGGCAUCAUUGCACGGAUGCGGUCGAGCGCGGAGUUGUUGCUCAGCGGAACGACACCCUUUGGCAACCUGAACACUUCGGGAUGUUGAGGGUCGUACUUGAACAGCUCCUGGAGCAUCGCGUUAAGCUCCAGAACAGUGAAGUUGAAGUUGAGGCCCGGGCGCAGCCUCAUGAUAUCCGCCGCAUUCUUGAAUUCCCAAGCGGGUCUCCUCCGUUCCUGCAGCGGGGCGAUGCGGCGGCGAAGAAAAUCUGCGCCAAUAGCGCCUACAGUGAGCCCCGCAAACCUGAGGCGUUGGAUCCGGGUGAUGGCAAUCUUCAGCCUAUCAUCUUCCAGGGCCAUGUCACUCCAAUCGCUGCCGCGUGCUACUGGGGCUUGGCGCCGGGCGGUAAACGGCUGCGGGUUCUCCUCGACAAUCCAGCACCAGUCUGCUCUCCAUUCCUCCCACUUGCUGCGGAACUCUCCCUCCAGAUAAGUGUCCUUCUUGCCGGCCCUCGAGAUCCAGGCGAUUCCGCCGGAUAAAGGCUCUCAUCUCUCUACUCGGGGCAUAAAGAAGUGGCGAAAAAGGGCUACAUUGGGAUAGACUCCGACAAAGUUUUCGCAGAGAUGUGCGAAAACUGCCAUGGUCAGAACAACAUUGGGGGUGAAGUCAAGGAGGCGGAACCCGUAGGUGUUCAUAAUAUCGCAGAAAAACUCAGAGAAAGGCGGGCAUAGCCCGAAGUAGAAGAACAAAGCGAAGAAAGGAUAUCCAUUUGGAGCCAUUUUCCAAGCGGCGGCUGGAAGUACCUUCGUGUGCGGAUGCGCUCGCGUCUCCGUCGACCAGAAGAGGUAGUAAUUCUCCCUCAGCUCCCUCGCGGCGAGCUUGGGGGGGAAAGAUUGCCCGCUCCUUUCGCAGCGCCGCAAGCCGCUGCACCUCGGUCGACUUCACAACCUUCCCUUUGUCGGCUCUCGGAGCCAUGGCGGAAGUGGUGGAGGAGGUCGACGAUGUUGGUGGUGCUGGUGGCGAUGGGGGGCGGGGCGUUGCUCUCUUUCAGCUUUGGGAAGACGAGGGAGCGGCGGAGGUUUCCGAGAUUGGAGUAGCAACCGGCGAAUGGGCGAACUACCUCUGUUUCCCAUGCUUAUAAAGAGGGAAGCGGCGGACGUUCCGCCUUUCCGAAUAAAGAAACCACCCACGAUCUCUCCCACGACGCCGCAUUCAACGCGUGCCGUUCGGGAAGGGCGCGGUGGAUACGGGGAGAGAUACGGAGUAACCCAGGCCGCGCGUGCCCGUGCCCUGCUUUGGGCCUGGCCCAACAGCGCUCGACACCGUGUAUGGCCCAGGCCCGGGGGCUCCUGUCGGUGUACUGGAGUAGGGGUACCCUAGUAUCCUGAACUUGUGCACGGGCAGUCGCAGCAUCCCGCGGCAAGGCUUGCCGGGUGACCGCCAAGGUCCUCCGUGGUUCCUUUGGAGCCAUUCAAGGACAAAGUAUCCAAGCCAAGGAGACAAGACCCCGGCAAGAGGAGCUUGCCGGGAAGGCCAACCAAGGUAUCUCAAGGAACUUGCCGCAACGCGCCACGCGUCCCGGCAAGGCCCGAUGAGAGACAAGCUCCCGGACGCGACAAGACAACGACCGCGGCAAGGCGCUUGCCGCGGCAAGCCACCACUCUGUGCCCGCGCUCCAGCAUAUCCACCAACGUGUCGCUCUGGGACCCUUCCAGGCUACCUAUUAUGGCAUUUCCAUAUCCAUUCCGAGAUAUAUUGCCAUGCAACUUUCCACCGUUCCGUUUAUUAUGACACGAUCCAUCAUUGUCAUAUUGCCUUGCAUGAUCAUGUAGUUGACAUCGUAUUUGUGGAAAAUCCACCGUUCAUAAUAUUUUUCAUACAUGUCACUCUUGACUCAUUGCACAUCCUGGUACACCGCCGGAGGCACGCAUAUAGAGUCAUAUUUUUGUUCUAAGUACCGAGUUGUAAUCUUUGAGUUAUAAAUAAAUAGAAGUGUGAUGAUCAUCAUUAUUAGAGUAUUGUCCCUUGUGAGGAAAUAAAA
rnacentral:lncRNA from 1 species